rnacentral:lncRNA from 1 species
UUUUUUUUCCUGUUUUUUGGAUUUUGGAUGUGCAGUGCACCCAGAUCACGCGAGCAGUGCACGCGGAUCACACGAGCAGUUAAUUGCAGCGUGAUUAUAGUUUUGGUGGCGCGGGUAGCAUUUUUUCUUUUAUUUUUAUAGAAAAAAGUUUCAUCUAGUUAGCCUUUUUUUAUUUUGAAUAUGUAGUUCAGUGGCAUGGUGUAGUUUGCAGGUGCAGUACGCCGCUUGGGUGUGAUCUAACACAUCACGGCUAGUCCUCAAUUGCUGUUCGGCUGGUGACAUUGUGGAUUUUGUGUGUAUGGUUGUGUGUGGCUGUUUAAAAAUAAUGAAAAUAUAUAGAGUAAAUGUUUUGAAAAUCACUUUGUUCUCCCGCGUGGUUCACUAUAAUAAAACUCCUCCAUUGUUCACUAUAUCAAAUGCAACGCGGCAGUGUGUUUGGCCCUCUGAUGUGGUUCACUUUUGAGAGUGAUGGUGUUCACUUGUGCCCAACAUGAAAAAAUGCGAAAAAAUUAAUGAAACAACAAUAGUAAUGCGGUUCACUUCGAUAUAUGAUGUGGUUCGCUUGCCCUAGUCUUCGCGGUCCACUCUCUUUAAUAAUUUUUUUGAAAAAAAGACAACAAAAAUUCGUCUGAGAAAAAAUUUACAUCCGGCAAAAGAAAUCAUGAAGUGCGCUUGCUCGUCCGAUGCAGUGCGGUUUUUCGUCUGAAGCAGUGCACUCCAUCUCGUUUGGGAAAACUUACGUCCCACAAAAAAGAAAUCAUGUAGUUCACUUGUCUGUCCGAUGAAGUGCGCUUUUUAGUCUGAAGUAGUGCACUCCACCUCGUUUGGAAAAAUUUACGUCCCACAAAAAAGAAAUCAUGUGGUGCACUUGUCUGUCCAAUGAAGUGUGGUUUUUAGUCUAAAUAAGUGUGGUUUUCUGUCUGAUGCAGUACGACCCGUUUAUGGUAGUCUCGAGGUUCAAUUUUCAUAGUAUUACGGUUCACCAAACACUGGACAUGAAAGUGCACUCCACCUCGUUUAGGAAAAUUUACGUCCCACAAAAAAGAAAUCAUGCAGUGCACUUAUUUGUCCGAUGAAGUAUAGUUUUUAGUCUAAAAGAAGUGUGGUUUUCUGUCUGAUGCAGUACAUACGACGAUUUUGGUGUUCCGAAAAAACAGAGUGUUCGCAUUUCGUUAAAAUCAAAAUUGCUUCUAAACCGUACGGAAUCGGGGAGAGUGUUCUAUAUAAAAAAGUUGCGCCUCAUCGAUAUCUUUCCAACGACGUAUAAUUUGAAUCAUUUCGACCAGCAGUUUGUAAAAAUUUCACGAAAAACGGCCGCUACCUCUCAUCGUCAGCCGCACAAUUUUUAAAAUUAACUAAAAAUUGUAAGGAAUCUGAAAAACAUUUUAACAUACAAAAGUUGCGCCUCGUCUGUAGCUUUCUAACGACGUAUCAUACGCCCCAUUUCGACAAACGAUUAGAAAACUAGAGUAAAAACAGUACCGAAAAUUUAAAUUUUCUUGAAAAACAAAAUUCCGCGAUUUAGUAAAUUUGAAACUACUCUUAAACCGUAACGAAAUAGAGAAAAUAAUACAUAUGAAAAAGAUGCGCCUCGAUGAUAUCUUUCCAAUGGUGUAUCAUUUGCUUUGUCCUGACGAGCGGUUUAGAAGAAAUCGCGAAAAAACGCUCGCUGACACUCGUCAUGGGCCGCACCAUUUUUAAAACUGCUCUUAAACCGUGUUGAUUCUCGAAAAGUGUUCAACAUGUCGAAGUUGCGCCUAAUCCAUAGCUUUUCAACUAUAUAUUAGACGCCUCGUUCCGAUAAACGGUUAAAAAAACUAGAGUGAAAACAGUACCAAAAACAACGCGUGCAGUGCGGAAGUGUUAUCAGAAUAGUUAUUCUGCUAAUAUUAGCAGAAUAGUUAGUAUAUAUAUAUCGAAAAAUGGUUGUGUAUUCCUGGGAGUACGUACUCCCGCUCCUUAUACCACAUAGAUAAAUCUUUUAUACCUCUUUAUUAUUUUUAAAAUAUUUCACUAGUAAUUAUUAGAUAUCCCAAAAUGAGUUUUAUGAAAAAAUUCAUGUGAGUCUACAUAUUUUUAAAUAUUUACGUAUAUACUAAUGUGUUUGUACGUGAAAAAGGUAUAUUACAAAAAGUACGUCAUAGAUGAUAUUUUUUUAGCAAAACUCAUAUUGGGGUAUCUUAGAAUAUUAAAUGAAGUAUAUUGAAAACAAUAAAAAGGUAUAAUUAAUGUGUAUAUGAGAUGUAUUGAGGGUGGGAGUACAUACUUCCAGGAUUACAGAAAAGGAGUCAUAUAUAUAUAUAUAUAUAUAUAUAUAUAUAUAUAUAUAUAUAUAUAUUAGCAGGCACCUAAGUGCCCAGGCACCUUGCCUAGAUGCCGUUAGAUCGAAUCGUAGCAUCUUUUUUAUUAUGUAUAGAUGAGUUAUUGGGUCUGACCCGUUAACAAAUAGGUUAAUAUUUUGAAUUAUAUCUCAUCGUUUAAGAAAUAAGUUUCCAUUUGUGUGUUUGUCAUCCAUACCCCGUUCGAACAUUCCAAAAGUAAUUGAUAUCUGCCAAUUGAAUAUCUUACAAAGAAUUUUGCAUGGCGUGGACAUUAUGGAAAGGGUAUAUGAUGGCAAUGAAAUACAUUCCAAUGAUGUGGAUGUCAUCAACAGGACAUUGUUUGAACAAAUCAAGCCGAUGAAAAUAAUUUUCCAUCAUACCUUCCAAAUAAUUUUGCAUGGCGUGUCAAUUAUGGAAAGGUAUAACUAGUUAAUUAAAUACCAUGCAAAGAUGCGCGUGUAAUUAAUGGUCCAUUGUUUGAACAUUUCGAAUUGAAAUGAUUUUCCAUACUUACUGACAUGUAUGAUAGGCACAAGUUAAAAUAUAAAGGUAUUUCAUAAUUACGAAUUUCUGUAAAACAAUCAUCAUUUGUUGAAUGUUAUUUAUUUUAUUAGUAUUGGUCAUGUAGGUAUAUACCUAUAAUAAAAAAAUAUCUCCCCACAAAAUAAAUUUUAAAAAAUAUCUCUACAUUUGUUAGUCUGGUCGUGUGGGUAUGUACCUAUGAUUGGUGCAAAUUAAAAUGUAAAGUUAUUUUAUCAUUAUGAUUUUUGUAAAAAAUAAUUAAUCAUUGAAUGUCAUUUAUUCUAUAGAUGUGGGUAUAUCAUAAAGAUGAUCUUUAAUUGCACUAGUGGCUAAAUCUUUAGGGUAUAUUAAAAAAAUUAUUCCUUAUGGUAGUUUUGAGUUUGGAGUAGAGAAAAUGAUUAGGAAAUGUGAAAUAUAAAUUUUACUGGAUGGAAUAAGACAAGCACUACCGAGAUCACAGAUACUCGGCAAGGAAAAAGGAUGAUACUCGGUGAAAUGCAAGUUCACCAAGUUCCUGCUGGCUGGGUAUUAAACUCAAAACACUUGGCAAAAGGAUGACACUCGACUAACAUGAUCUUUGCAUAGUGUUACACAAAAAGGAAAUGCAUGUGAAAUCCUAAAGAUCUUUGUGGCGCUGUUAUUAUUAAGUAGCAACAGUGUGUCUUCUUAGGUAUACACUGCCUAGUGUUUUAGUACGUACCAUUUUAUAUGUUUUCUUUUGAUUGUGCAUGACUAAUUGCUCCGCAAUAAAUUGAUUCCUACCACAUCAAUUAGAUAUUUUCUAGGAAAUCAAUGUGUGAUUAAAUGUUAUAUAAUUCUUGUGUUGAUGUUAGUUUAUAUUGACGUGGCCAAUACCAUAUAAGAUCUAAUUUUUUCUGCAAGGAAUAUAAUAUAUUCUUUAGUUAGAUUAGUGGUUAUAUCUCUAGGGUAUAUGCAAAAAUAGUUGUGAUAUACAUAUGGCGAAUCUAGUACGACGCCCAUUUGACACACUACCAGCACCAUCCAACUCAUUUAGCAAAAAACUUUGUGUCCAUUCGAUCCAUGUAUCAUAUACAUGUAAAUACAAAUCUUAUUGGACGCAGAGCCAUUCCGAUGGAAAAGAAAAAUAGAGUAGGGAAUCAUAAAGAUCAUUAUCGUAAUUCUAAUAAAAUGGAACCAUAUAUCUGCUCGUGUACAUUAUUGUCAAUUUUGGAUGAAAGCAAGCUUUACAAAAUUACGUUGGGUGAAUAACUAAAGAUCACCACAGGUGGAAGUAUUAUACACCCAUAGGUUGUGCUAUGUGGGUAGGCAUUGUUUAAUAAUUUGCAUGGUGUUGUGUAGGUAUCUCUCGACGAUAAUCAUUUAAAAUUGGAGGUAUCUAAUAUCUAUUACUAUGAAACAACCAUGCAGGUAUGCAUCUUGUGUACUACAUACUCACAAAAUUUGGUGGAUUAUAAGUUGAAUAUAUGAACUUAGGGAUGUCAUAGUAAGAUUGUUGGUAUAUGCCUUUUAAAUUUUUACAAAAAAUUCUACAUAUGUCAAUUAUGGUCGGGUGCACAUAAGGAAAAACUAAAUACCCCGCAAAAAAAAGAAAAAGUAAAUAAUGCAGUGUAGUGUGAUGAUGGCGUAUAAUAAUAUAUGGCGCACCAAUUUGUUCUCACUAUAUAGCUUGGUCGUGGGUACCAGAUAUACCCAAAUGAAAGUAAAAGUAAAAUCCAUAAUUAGAUGGUAUUUUCUCUACUACAUUUCAUUGUUGUGUAUGAGAUACCCAUGAAAAAUAAGCCGUACGAAAAUGCGGUACAUCCAUACUGUUUUAGGAAAUUGAAAAGACUUUGUACCAGUGUGUCAGUGUACAAGAUACCUAUAGAAUACCCAACAAGUAACUUUUUAUCAUUAUUAGGAGACUUUGAGUAUGGUCGUUGGGCAUAUGACACUGUGGGUAUCACACAUUAGCUAUAUGACACCAUGUGUAUCUAAUACAGGCAACUGAUACCUAUUGUAUUAAAAUUUGAAUAGGUUAGGGAGUGUACAACUAUACUUUUAGGCCUUAUGCCACAUCGGUGGGUAUCCAAUUUCUUGGAAAAAUGGUUGUAAUAAAAUGUGAUUUGCCAUUUCUGUUACAAAAUUUAGAAAGUAGAAUACGGUGUGAUGGUUAGGUAUUAGGUUGUGCAACUAUAUCUGUCUGACACGGGUACCAUCAUGCUCUAUAUAUAUCCUGGAAAUAGUACCCAAAAUCAGUAUGGUAAUUUUCUUAAUAUAUGGUCCCUUUUAUAUAUCCUGAACAAAAGUAUGACAAUAUGACUCAUUUUAAUAUUCAAAAUUUUAAAAAUACCUGGGAGUGUUGCCCAAAAUGUGUGUCAUUACAACCCAAAUUACAUGUUCCAGCACACAAUUAGAGAUAAAAGAUAAAAGGAGAUCACUUAUCAUUUGAUACACAUGUAUAUCUUAAAUCCUAUUCGCAACCAUAUUACAUCCCGAUUUUGAUGACUAAUAUUUGCUAUCACACUCGAAAUUGCAACUACAGAUGCAGGAUCAAAAACGAAGAAGUAUACAAUUAAGUCGCAUGUAUCAUCAUUCGCUUCUCUCGCAUACUGAUUGUGUCCGACAUUGUCACGCAAAGCCUUCAUUGUCAACCAUCCAGCACAUCUCAACAUUAGCUCGGCGGCUCUGUGUCAUAUAGAUCAUUUUUUUUGUAGAUGUAUCACAAGAGAGCCAUGAUAAAGUUAACUGAAAAAGAAAUAAAAAAUGCAACGAUAUCCAAUUAGAUGAACAAAAAAAGCUUUGAACACAAAGGAAAAUGAGAGAAUAAAUUACCAGAUAUAUUGAAGUAUCCUCACCAUUAUACAUUUAUGAGAAAAACAACACAUACCUUGCUAUAGGAGCUAUUCGUAUAAGUCAAAAACUACAAGCACAUGGCUGGGAUUUGUAGAUGAGACAAGGUUUGCGAAUUACAACAUACACUUCAAGUCUCAUGUUUCAUAGAACUAUUCUGCACAAAGUACAUGAAUCCUACAUACCUCGCAUGACCAUAACUUUGACUAACAUCGAGAGAGAAAAAGGUCACAUCAGGUAUGUUCCUCGAGGUGGUAGCUCAGUUGUCCGGGCGGUCAUAGUCUCCAUGGUGUAUUCCUCGAUUAUGGUCGUGUGCAUGGAAAGGUAAAAGAGUGUGACGAAGAGGUGGAGAUACAUGCAGUUGAAAAAGAAAUAGGUAAAUUGCUACAGAUGUAAUAGAGAGAUAAACAGCCUGGGAGCCCCAUUAGCGACCGUGACGGUGACAAUGGCAACCAUGGCCAUGCGGGGUAUGCUCGUGUAGAAGAAGGACGAGGCAGAGAUGAAUCAUGUAGGUAUGCAAAUGUGUGCAUGGUUUUGGUCCAGUUUUAAUGGCUAGCCAAAUGAUGGCAAGUACGUGGGCUCCUAUUUCUGGUAAACAAUCAAAUUAGACGACAUCUUUCAUAUUUGGAAAGAAUCGAAUUAAAGGGCAACAACAUAAUGCGAAAAAUUAUGGAAAGGAACAAAUCAUGCUCAUGCAAUAAUAUUUGGAAGGUGAGAAUGGACCAGAAUUGGGACGCAUGCAAUAUUUAAGAAUGAGUAAAGAAUGUUGUUAACGGGUGUAGCAAUCGAAACCCGAUACACAUAGGCAGGAUCAUCCAUUGAUCCAACGGCUGAUGCUCUAGGUGCCCAGGCACCUAGGUGCCCCAGUUAUUUUACCUAUAUAUAUAUAUAUAUAUAUAUAUAUAUAUAUAUAUAGUAACACUAAACUAAGUGUGAGUGUAGAAUAGCUUAUCCUACACCCCAGUAACGGUACAUACAAAAUAUAGUAACACACUAUGUAAAAUAUAUUAAUUUUUGUAAAAAUGUAGUAAAUUACAAACAUAGAUGAUUAAAAAAAAUAUUUUCCGAAUUACUACAUUUUGUACACCGUUUUACUAGAUUUUGUACAUAGCGUUACUAGGGAGUGUAGAAUAAGCUAUUCUACACUCACGCUUAGAAUAAACACUAUCUUCGUAACCAUGGCUUCCCCCACGAAUUAUUCUGGUUAGUCUUGUUCUAUAUCAUAUUAGUGUAAUCUAGGAACAUUUUUAGCAACUAAAUACCGGUUUUAAAUAGGUAUCUCGCUCGUUAGCAGAUUUUGCUCUCGGGUCGUGAUGAAAUUGCGUUUUUUGGCAAUUUUACUGCCUGAGUUGUUCGACCUGAACUUCCCCUAGUGCUAGGUUGAACUUCCACCAACAUUGCCCAAAUGGGGCUUGCGAUAUACCGUUGGAAAGCUAUGGACACCAGUAUCAUGACCAAAGUUAAAUUUUUGGCAAAAUGUAAGCGGUUUAAGAACAGUUUUGAAAACUGUUUUUUCUUCACACAAAAAGCGUGAAUCAUAUUUUCGAUCGCAUUUCUAAACCGUUUAUCGGAAUGAGGCAAAUGAUAUGGCAUUGGAAAGAUGCUGCAAAACCGCUCCUUCCACAUGUUGAAAGUUUUGGCUAAUUCCCUAUGUUAAAGAGUAAUUUGGAAAAUCGUAAAAUUUCACAAACCGAACAGCCGAGUUCGUAUUUUCAAUGUCAUUUUUAAAUGGCUAAUACAUUUGAGGAAAAUGAUAUGGCGUUGGAAACUUAUGAAAAUACGCUACUUUUUCAUGUUGAAAGUUUUUUCUAAUUUUGAACGGUUUAAAAGUAAUUUAGAAAACGGUACAAGUUGCACCGAGUUCGUAUUUUUGAGCUAAUUUUUUAAUCGUACGUCCGAAUCUAGCAAAUGAUAUGGCGUUGGAAAGCUUGAGAAAAUGCGAAACGUUUUUCUAUAUAUUAUUUCUCCCAAUUCAUUACAGUUUUAUGUCAAUUUUGAAAAUGGCUAAAAACGUAUUUUCGCCGUAAUUUCUACAAACUUUAUCGGAAUUGGACAAAUAAUAUACCGUUGAAAAGCUAAGGAAAAUGCGAAACUUUUUCAUGUUGUUGGUUUUCUCUGAUUCCUAGUCAUUUUCAAGUAAUUUCGAAAAUGACGAGAUCAUUUGUUCUGCCGUUAUCGCGAAACAGAUUCUUCGAAAAUGCACUGCAUGAAGAACCUGACCUUCUCGGCAUGUCUACUUGAAAUUCACUCUGUUUUUCACGUCCUUUUUUUGCCCGUAGCUCUCCAUACACUCACUGCAACACUCACCGGAAUUGAGCAAAUAAUAUACCGGUGAAAAGCUGAUGUAAACACGCAUCUUUCCCGUGUUGAUUGUUUUUUCAUAAUCACGACGGUUUUAAAAGUUAUUCAUCUGAAAUUCAUUCAGUGCAGUAGUUGAACUUCCUGUUGUUUUCACAUUGAAAUUCUGUGACGUAUUUUCGUUUGUAAUUUUCUCAUCCAUUCGUCUGUGUUACACAAAUGAUAUUCCUUCUGUACAAACCUCUCUCACAAUAAUUUAUUUUAACUUCCUCCUAUGGAGAACUUGAACUUGUAACAACAAAAAACUUUUGAACUUUGCUUUUUAAUUCUUUUUAAUACAAAAUGCACACCGUGUAGUACAUGACCUUCUGGCAGUUAUCAAUCUGAACUUCUCUCGGUUACGUGAAAAUAUCUGAGUUUUUUAUAAAUAUUAAUCUGAAUUUCUUAAUCCUUUUUUAUGAAUUUUGAAGCACUCUAUUUUUAAAAGUUGAACUUCUUGUUAUUUUAUUUUUGAACUUCUUGUUCCCAUUCUUUAAUAAUGACGUAAACCUGAGUUUUCUAUAAUCAUCGAACUUCUCCAUCUUUUUAAUCUGGACUUCCUAGUUUUUUUCUUAAUCUUUUUUAUGAAAUUUUGAAGCGCUCUAUUUUUAAAAGUUGAAAUUCUUGUUAUUUAAUUUUUGAAAUUCUUAUUUCCAUUCUUUUAAUAACGAGGAAAAUACGAGUUUUCUAUAAUCAUCGAACUUCUCCAUCUUUUUAAAUUGGGCUUCCCGGUAUUAUUUCUUAAUGUUUUCUAUGAAAUUUUGAAGCUCUCUAUUUUUAAAAGAUGAACUUCUUGUCAUUUUAUUUUUGAACUUCCUAUUUCCAUUCUUUAAUAACGAGGAAAAUCUGAGUUUUCUAUAAUCAUCGAACUUCUCCAUCUUUUUAAUAUGGAUGCCCUAGUUUUAUUUCGGAAUCAUUUUUUUCAAUUUGAACUUCAUGGUUGAUUCUUCAAUACUAAGGGGUAUUUGAGUAUUUUGAGAACGGUAAAAUUUUAGUUUCUAAAUAAACAUCGAACCAUUUCGUUAAUUUCAUUGAACUUCCAGUUUUUUAGAGAUGGGGAAAAUCUAUUUUUAAACUUUUUUUAGUUGUUUCUUUUUUUAAUUUGAACUUCUUCAUUUUAUACUGUAGUAACGCUAAAAAUCUAAGUUUUUCAUAAUCUUUGGAUUUCUCUUUUAUUUUAAUUUGAACUUCUUAGUCUUAUUCUUAGAAAAAAAUACGUUUUUAGUUAAGCAUCAAACAUUUUUUAACGGAGAAAAUGUUUUAACCAUCCUAUGAUCACAUAUGUUUUUACUUCUAGAGUUUUUUUAACGGAGAAAAUCCUUUUUUAUACAUUUGUGUUGAGAUGCUUUGUUUUUUUAGUUUGAUCAUCUUGGGUUUGUAAUAAACAUUGGACUUCUUCUUUUAAAUUUAAACCUCUAGAUUUUUUUAGAAACAGGGAAAACCAUUAUUUUUAUAACUUUUGAAAUGAUCAAUUUUUUAAUUUGAACUUCUAGGUCUUUUUAGAAAUGGAUAAAUUCCUUUUUUUAUAAAAAAGUUGAACUGCUCUUACUUUGAUCUUCCUUGGAUUUUCUAGAUAGGUCAACAUAUUUUUUUGUUACAAACAUCGAAACAGAUUUUUGUUUUACUUUUGUUUGGUUUUUUAUUAAAAAGGGAAACUCCAUGAAUUUUUAUUGUACAAACAUAUGUGUGUAUAUUUCUUGAACUACCAAAGUUAGCAUUUUUUGCAACGCGUGUUUUCCUUCUUGGUAUAUAAACAUCGAAUUGCUCUGUUUAUUUUAAUUUGAAAUUCUUUGUUUUAUUCUUGUCGUAACAGGAACAAUAUUUUUUUUGUAAAAGUUGAAUAGUCCCAACUUCUUGUUUUCAUGUAAAAAAUCAUGUUUUAUUACAUUUUGAACUUUCGCUUAUAUUAUAUAUGAACUUCUUCAUUUUUUGAAUUGUUUUGGUGACAAAAAUCUAACAGUUGUUCUGCCAAACUUAUUUUUGGCAUCUAUUUCGAACCUACAUGGGAAAAAGGGUUGUUACAGUGGAUGUGUUAAACAUACACAAAAAGAGAAUAGGAAAGGAGUUACAACGAACAAUUUUUGUCUCGUAGUAUCAAUCUUUUCCACCGGAUACACAUCCAAAGAGAAAAAAUGUACCAAUACCUCCAUAAUGCUACAAAAAUCAUCAGAUCACGAGGAAUAGGAAAAGAGAGCAGUCCAAGAUGCUCACCCCACGUCCCCAAGUGAACAUCAAGGUUUCUUGAAAAUUUUACAACCGAAAUUUGUCAUCUGUCGAGUUUGAACUUCUUUAGGCAGGGGGAACUGUCAGCCAAACCAAGAGAACAAAACACAUCACAAUAGCACAAGAGAAGAGAUUCUAAACUGUCAAGUAAGCUUUUUUCCUUUUAUUCAUGCUCUUGGGCAGCUCGCGAGUUUCCAAACUGCUUGGUGAACAGAUGGCGGCAGCAACAACAUCAAUGAGUUUUUGGCUGACGAGAGGAGGAAAGAUGCCAGCCUCGUCGGAGCAUCGUGGCAGUGUGAUCCGAGCACUGCAGCGGCGAACGUCCUGGGGCUGCAUCAUUGAACGGCCCGAGGCAGUGAGGUUGAACGGCUUGUGUGCUACCACGGCCACCGGAAGGAGCGUGGGAAGGGGCGGGACGAACGAGAGGAUCCAAAGGAGCUGCCGAGAGGUGGAGAAGGAGAAGAGGAACACAGAGGGCGAGAGGAGGCUCACCCGAGGGGAGGAUUGAGGGUUGGCUAGAGGGGAAGGACGCGGUGUUGACCAGAUCCGUGUCGGAUCAACUAGGGCCUCCUAGGUUGAUAGUGCUCGUGGUUCACCGUCGGCGACGACACAGAGCGGCGCAUGGAGGUCGAGGAGCAGGGGCGCGGUGCAAAGGAGGCCGGAGGUGGUGGCUGUGGUGAGAUUUGGGGAAGGAAACGGUGGUGGCGGGGCUAUCUUGUGAGGGCAGCGGCGGUGACGGGGAGAUCUGGGGAGGGUGGCGGCGGCCCGAUCUACUGAGGGUGGUGCCGGUGGCGGGGCAAUCUGGUGAGGGCCAAUGGCGGCACGGGCCAGGGAGGGAGGCGACGGUGGGAUCGGGAGAAGGUAGGGGAGGGGAGGCAGGCGACGGUGGGACCGGGGGUGGGGGUCGUGGGCAGUGGGUGUUUUUCUUUUUCUAGUAACGAUCGGGGCCAUGUGUGUUUGCGAUCUCACGAGCAUACCGUCGGCCCCUAUAUAGGCUGACAUGAUCCAAAUAACUAUUCUAAUCCCAGGAUGAGAAUAGUGUUGUCCUAUAUAUACAUAAACACUAUGCUGAUCACGGGAUCAGAAUAAUAUUCUGAUCACAACCUGAACUGCCUGAGUAACGCGCCUGAACUUCCCUCUGUACGAACCCGACCUUCGGGCUAUCUUCCCAACCGUGGCUUCCUCCGCGAAUUAUUCUGGUUAGUCGGGUUCUAUAUCAUGUUAGUGUAAUCGAGAAACAUUUUUAGCAACUACAUACCGGUUUGAAAUAGGUAUCUCGCUCAUUGGCGGAUUUUGCUCUCGGGUCAUGAUGAAAUUGCGUUUUUUGCAAUUUUACUCCCUGAGUUGUUCGACCUGAACUUCCCCUAGUGCUAGGUUGAACUUCUGCCAAUAUUGCCCAAAUAGGCUUGCGAUAUACCGUUGGAAAGCUAUGGACAACAGUAUCAUGACCCAAGCUAAAUUUUUAGCAAAAUGUGGGCGGUCUAAGAGAAGUUUUGAAAACCAUUUUUUCUUCACACAAAAAAUGUGAAUCGUAUUUUUGAUCGCAUUUCUAAACCGUCUAUCGGAAUGAGGCAAAUAAUAUGGCGUUGGAAAGAUGUUGCAAAAUUGCUCCUUUCACAUGUUGAAAGUUUUCGUUAAUUCCCUAUGGUUAAAGAGUAAUUUGGAAAAUCAUAAAAUUUCGCAAAGCGAACAGCCGGGUUCGUAUUUUCGAUGUUAUUUCUAAACGGCUAAUCUAAUUGAGGCAAAUGAUAUGGCGUUGGAAAGCUUAUGAAAAUGUGCUACUUUUUCAUGUUGAAAGUUUUUCUAAUUUUGAACAGUUUAAAAGUAAUUUAGAAAAUGGUACAAGUUGCACUGUGUUCGUAUUUUUAAGUUAAUUUUUUAACCGUACGUCUGAAUGUAGCAAAUGAUAUGGCGUUGGAAAGAUUGAGAAAAUGCGAAACUUUUUCUAUAUAUUAUUUCUACCAAUUCAUUACGGUUUUAUGUCAAUUUUGAAAAUGGCUAAAAAUGUAUUUUCACCGUAAUUUCUACAAACAUUAUUGGAAUUGGACAAAUAAUAUAUCGUUGAAAAGCUAAGGAAAAUGCGAAACUUAAUCAUGUUGAUGGUUUUCUCUGAUUCUUAGUCGUUUUCAAGUAAUUUCGAAAAUGAUGAGAUCAUACGUUCUGCCUUUAUCGCGAAGCAGAUUCUUUGAAAAUGCACCACGUGAAGAACUUGAACUUCUCGGCAUGUCUACUUGAACUUCACUCUGUUUUUCACGUGCUUUCUUUGCCUGUAGCUCUUCAUCCACUCACCGGAACACUCACCGAAAUUGAGCAAGUAAUAUACCGGUGGAAAGCUGAUGUAAACACACAACUUUCCCGUGUUGAUCAUUUUUUCAUAAUCGCGAUGGUUUUAAAAGUUAUUCAUCUGAAAUUCAUUCAGUGCAGUAGUUGAACUUCCUGUUGUUUUCAUGUCGAACUUCUGUGACGUAUUCUCAAUUGUAAUUUUCUCAUUCAUUCGUCCGUGUUACACAAAUGAUAUUCCUUCUGUACAAACCUCUCUCACAAUAUUUUUUUAACUUUCUCCGAUGCAGAACUUGAACUUAUAACAACAAAACUUUUAGAUUUUGCUUUUUUAAUCUUUUUAAUACAAAAUGCACACCGUGUAGUACGUGACCUUCUGGCAGUUAUCAAUCUGAACUUCUCUCGGUUACGUGAAAAUAUCUGAGUUUUUUUAUAAAUAUUAACCUGAAUUUCUUAACCUUUUAUAUGAAUUUUUAAGCGCUCUAUUUUUAAAAUUUGAACUUCUUGUUAUUUUAUUUUUGGACUUCUUGUUUCCAUUCUUUAAUAACGAGGGAAAUCUGAGUUUUCUAUAAUCAUCGAACUUCUCCAUCUUUUUAAUAUGGACUUACUAGUUUUUUUCUUAAUCUUUUUUAUGAAAUUUUGAUGUGCUCUAUUUUUAAAAGUUGAACUUCUUGUUAUUUAAUUUUUGAACUUCUUAUUUCCAUUCUUUUAAUAACGAGGAAUAUAUGAGUUUUCUAUAAUCAUCGAACUUCUCCAUCUUUUUAAAUUGGGCUUCCUGGUAUUAUUUCUUAAUCUUUUUGAUGAAAUUUUGAAGUGCUCUAUUUUUAAAAGUUGAACUUCUUGUCAUUUUAUUUUUGAACUUCUUGUUUCCAUUCUUUAAUAACGAGGAAAAUCCGAGUGUUCUAUAAUCAUUGAACUUCUCCAUCUUUUUAAUAUGGAUGUCCUAGUUUUAUUUUUGAAUCAUUUUCUUUCAAUUUGAACUUCAUGGUUGAUUCUUCAAUACUAAGGGGUAUGUGAGUAUUUUGAUAACGGUAAAAUUUUAGUUUCUAAAUAAACAUUGAACCACUUCGUUAUUUUCGUUUGAACUUCUAGUUUUUUUUAGAGAUGGGGAAAAUCUAUUUUUAAACUUUUUUAGUUCUUCCUUUUUGAAUUUGAACUUCUUCGUUUUAUACUUUAGUAACGCGAAAAAUCUGAGUUUUUCAUAAUCUUUGGACUUCUCUUUUAUUUUAACCCCAGCAUUAGAAUAGUGUUGUCCUAUAUAUAUAUAUAUAUAUAUAUAUAUAUAUAUAUAUAUAUAUGCUGGGUCUAUUAUGAUAACACCCUUAGAGUCUUAUUCUGCUAACACCUAGCCUUAUUCUGCUAACACCCCCGCCUACCGCUAUAGCUACAAACAAACCACCAAACUGCGGCAAUAAAAAAAACCACCCAUNNNNNNNNNNNNNNNNNNNNNNNNNNNNNNNNNNNNNNNNNNNNNNNNNNNNNNNNNNNNNNNNNNNNNNNNNNNNNNNNNNNNNNNNNNNNNNNNNNNNNNNNNNNNNNNNNNNNNNNNNNNNNNNNNNNNNNNNNNNNNNNNNNNNNNNNNNNNNNNNNNNNNNNNNNNNNNNNNNNNNNNNNNNNNNNNNNNNNNNNNNNNNNNNNNNNNNNNNNNNNNNNNNNNNNNNNNNNNNNNNNNNNNNNNNNNNNNNNNNNNNNNNNNNNNNNNNNNNNNNNNNNNNNNNNNNNNNNNNNNNNNNNNNNNNNNNNNNNNNNNNNNNNNNNNNNNNNNNNNNNNNNNNNNNNNNNNNNNNNNNNNNNNNNNNNNNNNNNNNNNNNNNNNNNNNNNNNNNNNNNNNNNNNNNNNNNNNNNNNNNNNNNNNNNNNNNNNNNNNNNNNNNNNNNNNNNNNNNNNNNNNNNNNNNNNNNNNNNNNNNNNNNNNNNNNNNNNNNNNNNNNNNNNNNNNNNNNNNNNNNNNNNNNNNNNNNNNNNNACCCCACAGCACCGCCCCACGACUCCCCCACCCAAGCACAACUCUCUCAUGGCUCACGCUGCCUCCCUGGAUAGCCGGAUCCCGAUCGCCCCGAUUGAAACCCCACACAUGUGAUGGCCGCCACCUGGGAGCCGCGAUGGCCCGGAUCCGACUCGCUCCUCCAUGGCCUCUGAUGUCGCCAUGUGGUGCGCCACCGGCCACCCACGCCCCGCGCAGCUCGUUGCUGCCCGAUAUUCAGUUCAGCGACCGUGGCAGUGCAGUUCGGAGGCGCGGGUGAUGUGGUUCAGUGCUGGUCGUCAUGGAUGGUCCUCGGGGUAGAUCCCGUAGGUGCUCUUCCAACUCUCUUCACUUUCGUGGCGCUCGAGCGUAGAUGGGACGGUGUCCAACAUCGGCGUGCAGUACGACAUACGACGACGUGCAAUACAGGAUACAACGGCCUGCAGUUCGGUGACCCUCCCACGCGCCAGAACAACCAUGAGCAACAGCACGGCUGGGAGCUCCUCCACCAUUCGCGCCCCAACCACCACUGCAACCCUCUUUCCCCUUGGCUACCUCCUUCCCCUGUAACACCCACGAUGCGGCUAUAUCUCCCACGUGUCGGAGCACGACUUAGAGGCAUAACCGCAUGGUAGGCAUGUCGCAAGAGGGGUAAUCUUUACACAUCCCAUGUACUGAAUAAGAAAGGGAUAAAGAGUUGGCUUACAAUCGCCACUUCACACAAUACAUAAAUAUAUCAUACAUCAUCCAGAAUACAAUCAAGGUCCGACUACAGAACCAAAAUAAAGAAAGACAACCCCAAAUGCUAGAUCCCCGAUCUCCCCAACUGGGCUCCUCUACUGAUCAUCCAGAAAAGACACGUAGUAACAGCCAGAAUCCUCGUCGAACUCCCACUUGAGUUCGGUAGCAUCCCCUGCACUAGCAUCAUCGGCACCUGCAUCUGUUUGGAAGUAUCUGUGAGUCACGGGGACUCAGCAAUCUCACACCCUCGCGAUCAAUACUAUUUAAGCUUAAAGGUAGGAAACGGGUAGUGAGGUGGAGCUGCAGCAAGCACUAGCAUAUAUGGAAGCUAAAUUACGCAAAUGAGAGCGAGAAGAGAAGCAAAGCACGGGCGAGAAGCUAAUAAUGAUCAAGAAGUGAUACUAAGGGUACUUAUGUUCAAGCAUAACACGAGACCGUGUUCUCUUCCUAGACUCCGCCGAAAAGAGACCAUCACGGCUACACACGCGGUUGCUUCAUUUUAAUUAGAUUAAGUGUCAAGUUUUCUACAACCGGAUAUUAACUAAUUCCCAUCUGCCCAUAACCACGGGCACGACUUUCGAAAGUUCAAAACCCUGCAGGGGUGUCCCAACUUAGCCCAUCACAAGCUCUCAUGGUCAACGAAGGAUAUUCCUUCUCCCAGGAAGACCCGAUCAGACUCGGAAUCCCGGUUACAAGACAUUUCGACAAUGCUAAAACAAGACCAGCAAGACCACCCGCUGUGCCGACAAAUACUGAUAGGAGCUGCACAUAUCUCGUUCUCAGGGCACACCGGAUAAGAUAAGCGUACAUGAACCAACAUAACCCAUGUUGCCAAGGGACGGUCCCACACGGGGCUCUAGUUUGGACCAACACUCAAAGGAGCACUGGCCCGGGGGUUUAAAAUAAAGAUGACCCUUGAGUCCGCGGAACCCAAGGGAAAAAGGCUUAGGUGGCCAAUGGUAAAACCAAGGUUGGGCCUUGCUCAAGGAGUUUUAUUCAAGGCGAACUGUCAAGGGGUUCCCAUAACACCCAACCGCGUAAGGAACGCAAAAUGGCGGAAACUAAGGCGGCAAGAGUGGAACAAAACACCAGGCAUAGGGCCGAGCCUUCCACCCUUUACCAAAUAUAUAGAUGCAUUAAAGUAAACAAGAUAUAAUAAUGAUAUCACAAAAAUCUCCAUGUUCCAACAUGGAACAAACUCCAACUUCACCUGCAACUAGCAACGGUAUAAGAGGGGCUGAGCAAAGCGGUAACAUAGCCAAACAAUGGUUGGCUGGGAAAGGUGGGUUAGAGGCUUGACAUGGCAAUAUGGGAGGCAUGAUAUAGCAAGUGGUAGGUAUCGCGACAUAGCAAUAGAGCGAACAACUAGCAAGCAAAGAUAGAAGUGAUUUCGAGGGUAUGGUCAUCUUGCCUGCAAAAUUCUCAGAGUUGACGAAAGCUUAAUCCUCGUUAGCGUACUCAACGGGUUCCUCGAUCACGUACUUGUCUCCCGGCUCUAUUAAAAGCAAGAACACAAGCAAAGGAAACAAAAAUCAACCACGGUGCAAUGCGCAAGCAACAUGAUGCAAAACAUGGCAUGAUAUGCGAGAUGUGAUAUGCAAAGCAUAUGCGUGCUCCGGAAGGAAAAGGAUGAACAAGGCAUCAACUUGGCAAACCAAGUGCUCUGCUGGAAAGAUGAGUUGAUUUUGGUCGAAAUCGAUAUAAAGAUCACCGGAAUCAGAUGCAUGGUUUGCAAAUGGCAAGCAAAACAAUAAUGGCACAAUACCGCGAUUAACAGCACGAUGCCACCUAGAAUGCAACAAGAAACUAAGGUACUACACUCCAACGUAUCAACAAAGCACAUGGUAGUGAUCUACUCAAGAUGCUUGACAAAAGAUGAACACUGAUCUACAGCUAAAUCACAUAAGAGCAGGUUCAAACAAGCAUGGCAAAAGUGCAAAAGAUAUCAGCUUCACAGACUUAGUGAAAAUACUAACAUGCUAGGAAUUAACAUCAGGAAGCAAUGUUUAGAGCAAGCUAACAACAUGCUACAUGAGCGGAUCAUAGCAAACAAAGGCAUGUCAUGAAUCUACUCAAAGCCUAGAACACAAGUCCCUUACUGACCAUGAGCCAAAAAGGCACAGAAGAUAUGAUGGCACCCAUGUAAACAUAGCAAGUUUUAUAAACAGAUUCAGACUUGGCAGAAAACUGAGCAUGCAAAAACAGAGUUAUGAAGGCAUCUUUGCAAGCUCGAUUCACUCAACACAAGGCAUCGCAUGACAAGAUAAUCAUAGAAUCAACAAGAUGGCAUGUUUAUGAAGCUAACCAAGGCAAGCUAAAGUUCAUAGCAUGCAUGGAUCAACUACAACAUCCAUGGAAAAAUUGAUUAACAUGUAAAUAAUCUGCUGGGAACAUUUUAUAGCAAAAGUAGAGCAAGAUUAAGACAUGCUAGUGGACUCCAUAAUUGCAAACAGGGGCAUGGAUGGAUAGAGCAUAACCAUAUGUCAAAAUCAUCCUUACUGAAGAUACUCAAAACAAGCAUGGAUCACUCUGUGGCAUCAUGGAUACAUGGCAUAAAAAUAACAGUAGCCAAAGACUUAGCCAAAAUCCUGAGAUCCUGAAAUCAACAAUAUCACGAAGGCUACUUUGCAUGCUUGUGCUAGUCAUGACAAAGAUCACAAAAAUACAUGGCAUACACCCCUGUAAAGAUGGCAUGGCAUAUAUCAAUAUACAUGUAGGGCUCAUGCCCAUAUGCAGCACACAACAAAUGUAGCAAAAAUGACAACUCCUCAUACUCUGAUAAGAGUCAGCACCUAACAAUUUAUAGCACUCUUGCAUCAGUUAUUAGGGCAUCAAGAUGGACUCAAACAAGCAUGUCACAAUGUAACAAAAUGAAGAGCACAUCAUGAUGAACAUUUUGAUAUAUUGCACGCACAAAACGGAGCUACAUGCAAGAAGUUAUGAUGCAUUGAACAGAGGCUUAAAACAUAACAUAAAAAGGACUUAGAGGGGAUUUGGACCUCCAGAUUUGAGAUCUAGGGUUCGGUGGCGCGGAUGAUGAGGACGGCCAGAGCGGAUCUCGCCGGAAUCUGCAGGGGCGGUGACCGGAGCUCGAAGGAGAGGAGGCCGGCGAGGGGGUCCGGCGAACGACGACCGUGGGAGGUGGCGGAGACAGGUGCUGGCGGCGGAGGACGAGCUAGGCGCGGUCGCCGGCGCGGAGGAGCGACGCGGCUGCCAGCCGGCAUGGAGGAGCGCCGGUGAUGGCGGGCGCGGUCGGUGGAGCACGCCGGCAAGGCGGUGGCGGGCUCGGUGGGAGGCGGCGGGCGAGCGCGGGUGUCGGUGUCAAAACAGGCCGAUCUUGGGUAGGGGGUCCCAAACUGUGCGUCUAAGGCGGAUGGUAACAAGAGGCAGGUGACACGAUGUUUUACCCAGGUUCGGGCCCUCUUGAUGGAGGUAAAACCCUACGUCCUGCUUGAUUUAUUCUUGAUGAUAUGAAUAUUACAAGAGUUGAUCUACCACGAGAUCAGAGAGGCUAAACCCUAGAAGCUAGCCUAUAGUAUGAUUGUCUGUUGUCCUACGGACUAAAACCCUCCGGUUUAUAUAGACACCGAAGGGGGCUAGGGUUACACAAGGUCAGUUACAAAGGAGGAGAUAUCCAUAUCCGUACUGCCUAGCUUGCCUUCCACGCCAAGUAGAGUCCUAUCCGGACACGGGACGAAGUCUUCAAUCUUGUAUCUUCAUAGUCCAACAGUCCAGCCAAAGGAUAUAGUCUGGCUGUCCGGAGACCCCCUAAUCCAGGACUCCCUCAGUAGCCCCUGAACCAGGCUUCAACUUCGAUGAGUCCGGCGCACGGUGUUGUCUUCGGCAUUGCAAGGCGGGUUCCUCCUCCGGACACACCACAGAAGAGUUUGAAUAAAAGGAUAGUGUCCGACCCUGCAAAAUACAUUCCACAUACCAUCGUAGAGAGAAUAAUAUUUGCACAAAUCUAAUCUGUUGACACAUUUUGGCAACAUGACAUCAUGCCAUGGCUCGGUGAUUAUUCGAACCGUUUUUCUUUAACUAGCCCCGCACAUAACGCGAGGCAGUUUCUUGACACGUCUUGUCAAAGCAGAGAUCGUGUCCCCCUUAUUACGGGAUUCUCGUCAAUACGGGCAUGGGUAACCCAACCGUGCCAUCAAUUACGGCGCUUGAGGGAUAAGCGAGUUUUACCAGGCUAGUGGGGGCGCAUAGUUUUGGCCGCCCUUAUAAAGGGAUAAGGUUUAACCUUUUUCUACCCACGCCUUCUUCCUCCUUGCUCAUUCGUUCUUGCGCACUUGAGCUCCAACGCCCAAGUCCACAUCCUUCUCCUCAACCUUCUCCAAACAUGUACGGAGCGGGAGGCAAGUGGAUGGCUUCCUCCGUCACGGAGGGACACAUCAAAAAGCUGCGAGGAGCCGGAUACUUAGCCGCGAAUAUCGUGCAUCGGCUACCCGCUGCAGGGCAGAUCACCCCUACCCCGGAACCUCACGAGAGGGUAGUCUUCCUCCACCACUUCCUCCGCGGACAGGGGUUUCCCCUCCAUCCAUUCGUCCGCGGUCUUAUGUUCUACUAUGGGCUAGACUUUCAUGAUCUGGCCCCGAACUUCAUCCUCAACAUUUCGGCAUUCAUCGUCGUGUGUGAGGCUUUCCUCCGCAUCCGGCCCCACUUCGGCCUGUGGCUGAAGACCUUCAAUAUCAAGCCGAAGGUGGUGGGAGGCCGACAAACGGAAUGCGGUGGAGCCAUGGUGGGCAAGAUGCCCAAUGUUAUAUGGCUUGACGGCUCCUUCGUGGAGACCAUAAAGGGAUGGCAAUCGGCGUGGUUCUACAUCACCGAGCCGCGCGACACCAACUGGGUGGUGGCCCCCGAGUUUCGAUCUAGGAUCCCCACGCGGCUCACCUCCUAGAAAGAGAAGGGCCUAUCCUGGGGUUCAUCGGUGGAGCUGGACGGACUCUAGAAAUGUAUCCGGAAUAUGGCAAGCAAGAAGCUCAAGCUUGUCAACAUAGUCCAGGUCAUGCUCUUCCGUCGGAUCCUCCCGUGUCGACAACGGGAUUUCAACUUGUGGGAGUUCGACCCGGCCUAGCACCAGACUCUGAGCGAGCUCUUCGACAUGACGCACAAGGACGUCUGGAGGGUGCUGUUCAAGGGUGUCGAGGUCCCUCCCUCUCUCAUCGAGGACCGCGGGCUAAGCGCGAAGCGCCCUGCGAAUCCGGUAAGUUUUGUACAUCUGGUAGGAUUUUUACUUCCCAUAGCUUAACCACGUGCGGGGUCUGAGCUCCCAUGCCUUUGACAGGACUGGGUGGGGGCAUCGGAGAAGAUCAACUGUCCGGCCCCUCUGCCCGAAGACACUGCGGACGCUCUCCUAAUGGAGAUGCUCACUCCGGCUCCUUACAAGGUGCCGAAGAAGGCCAAGAAGAAGGCCAAGGGAACCCGGAAGAGUUCCCGACGCCAGGUGGUAUCGGACUCAUGGUCCGAUGACUCUGCAACGCACUCCUCCCACGAAGACGAGGAGGAAGAUGAAGAUGUUCCCCCUCCAGCCGAGGGAGACAAGAAAAGGAAGGCCGCCCCAACCCGGGGGGAGGAGGGCGAAGGGUCCAAGAAGGGAAGGACUCUCCUUCCGGACUGCUCCACAACAGCCGCCGAAGACGAAGACGAGUGGCUGCUCAGGGCCAAGCCCCUGGCGAAGUCGUAAGUAUUCGGAUACCGGAGUAACUCAUAGCAUACAUUUGUCGCACUGCUUCUCCUAACGCCGAAUAUGAUUAUGCAGACCGCCCCAAGCCCGUAUCGACGUAUCUUCGUCGGGCGGCUCCUUGGACUCGUCGGAUAUGGAUAGCGAUCCACUUCUGACCGCCACCUCCCCUUUCCCUACAGAUAAUGCCAAGGUGCUGUCUCAAGAGGCACCGGGUCGAGGGGAGACAGUCCCGAAGGCGCCUCAAGGCGACCUUCCGGACUCCGGGAGCAGAGGGGGUAAGGCUCCCGAGGGCUCCGAGUUCGGCCUUCAGCUGAACAUUGCACCGAAACCUCCAGUGGUUCCAGACUCGGGCAGGCGGCCUCCUUCCAAAAGGGGCAAGACGUCUGUGCCGGUAACCUUUGUCCAUCUAGAGGCACCGGAUAAUCUGCUGGGAGCGCUUCGCAGCGCUUCCAUCGACGAAGAGCACCGCACUAUUAUGAGUGCGGUGAUCCAGAAGGUUCAGUCCGCCAAGAGCGGACUGACUGAAGCCUGUGCCAGCCUUCUAACAGGCUAUGAGGUAAGUGUUUGAAAUAUAGGAAAAAUAUUACCGCAUAGACAGUAGCCCCUGAUGCUCUGUUUGGUGUUUAAAAAGAAAAGCCGAAUAGAGGAUCAACUAAUAUCUACAGGAGUCUAAUAUAAGUAUGUCUAUAUGCAUAUGCAGGCUUCGCUGCUGACCUCUGCCGCACUGACUGUGGAGGUUGCCGUACUGAAGCAGGACCUCGAAGGGUCCAAGAAAGAGCUCGGCCUUGCCAAGAGGCAGCUCGAGGAGAACUAAGGUAAGUAAUACCUAGUCUGUAGAUAUGUAUAUAUAUAAAAGGGAUGCAAUUGCAAAAUGACAGGAUCAUCUUUAAUUUGCCAGGGGCCACGACCGAAGUGGCAACCCUGAAGCAAGCGCUAUUCGAGGCCGAAAACAAAGCAGCCCAGGAGCGCACCGAGUGGGAAAAACAAGAGGCACGGGUGGGCGAGGUGCAGCAAGAGCUCCACGCUCUCGUGACGAAGCACGAGGCGUUGGAGCUUGACUUGAAGACGCGAGAUUCCGAGCUUGUCGCGACCCUUGAGAGUGCAAAGAGUGCCAAGGCCGAAGCCCAAAAGGCCCUCCAGGAGAUUGAUGCGAUGAAGAAGAUAGCGGCGGGUAAGGCAUUCUAUAUGCAAAGCAAGCAUGUGAAAGUAAAUUACUUGUUACUUAACCGAAUCUAGAGCUCUCCAGGAGCAUUCACAGAUUUGCCCCGUAACAUGUCGGAUGCUGCACAAUUUUACCAGGCCGAGGAGGGAAGCUCAACAGAGAAGCUGUUCUGGUCUCAGUAUACUGGGACUGAACACCCGAUGCCUCUGAUCGACCAGCUGAGGCAACUGGUCGAGCUGCACAAGGCGACCGAACAGGCCAUGAAGGGAUUUAUAGUCCGGAUGUGGACUGGCGACGCCCUUCCCAACAGCUACUUCAGCCUGGUGAGGCGGCUUGUGGAUGCCUGCCCAUGGCUGGAAGUCAUCAAGCGGUCCGUCUGCAUCGAAGGUGCACACCGGGCUAUCGCCCGUGCGAAGGUGCACUGGGCCAAGAUGGACGCCGUGAAGCUGGUGAAGGAAGGGCCGUCGCAGGGCAAGGAGCAUCGCCACCCCGAGAUGUACUAUGAGGGUGUCCUGAAGGGUGCCCGUCUUGUAACGGACGAGUGUGCGAAAGAUGUAAUAUUUGAAUAAACUUGCUCGUGUAAUCCUGUAUUAUGAAAACUUGUUCAUAUGCGCUAUGCAAUGCUUGUUUGAAUUUAAAAUAUUGCCUUCUGUUCGGCUGUUUAUCAAAUCUGAGAGAUGGCUAGUCGUCGGCUCCUGCCCCCACGCCACGAGUGCUGGGUUGUUCGGUAUAAACCUGAGCACUCUUGUUCCCAUUUUUGGGUCCUUCGAGGGAGGUGCUUAGCACAACGAACAAGGCAAUCGGACUAUAAUGCGUUAUCACUCUCACUUAGCCAUAGAAUUCUAUAAUUUUAAAUUUCGGCGAAGCCCCUAGUAUUCGGAAGGCUGAUUUCGGGGCGCUAUACACGCCUUAAGUCGGACAGGGCCGACUCCUCGCUCUAAGCGGCAUAAGUCUUUAGGGACUUGAAACCUCUCGAACAGCGUCCAGUCUCUCGCCUUAUCAUGAUAGUCAGUUUUAGCUUUCUCUACUGAGGUGCUUAGCCCAGCAGAACCGGGGCACAAUCGCAGUAGUUCUCCCAGUGCUACCUUAGCCGAUAUAGCGGAACGUAAGGUACCAAAACAUGGGAGCCGGGCAAACCCAACUAUUGACCCAAGACAUGAUUCGGAGCUGAUGCAUAUAAUGCUAUAAGUUCGGGGUGCCGCACUGUCGAAAGUGUUCGGACUUCUCAUGCCGUAUUAUGGGGUAUGCCUAAGCCCCUAGCAUAUUGGCCGUACCAGAAUGUACGGGUGCUAGAUGUCAUGAAUGAACAUAUAUAUACAUAUAUAUAUAUAUAAAGGAAGAAUGCAAUAAUAGUCUUAAUGCUAUGCCUUGUUUAUUCAAAAAGGUGCGUUAAAGCAGAAUAAUACAAGUAGUGCGAUAAGCAAAAAGUAGGACUGUUUGACAUGUCCCUUCCAAGGGCAAGUUGAGGAAUAGUAUUAAAGAAAAUAUUUCACUCGUUAUCGUAAUCCACCUGGGAGUUCCGUGGUGUGACGUAGCUUGCUGCCUCCUUGGUUGCUGCAUCAUGUGUUCGGCAAUCAUGCUGCUGGAGAGGGUUUCCAGAGAUUAAAGUCCUGAAAGAGAAAAAUAACAAAGCGGGAAGCCCCUAGUGCGGUUUAAGCCGCGUCUUGGAGCGUGCCGUAGUCGUGCCCCGCUCCCCACCUAUGCCCAUGGUAUUUUUAAUGCAUAAUUAUGUACGCGUGGCACGGAUUUUGCCGUUUGGCUGGGACCGGGUGGGGGCCACAUUGCUAUGCAAGCUCGGAACGUGCCAGGCGGUCCAGUUGCCGAUUACUCCGGGCGCGCUUGAAGGUGUCUGGGUCCUUAAUCGCCGAACUAGUGGAUUGCCUUAAGAGGCUACUUUGCGCUUCUGCUGCGAGGGCCGCAGUGUGCUCCUCCGUGCGGAGAGAGCGCUUUGUGUUUCCAUUGACUGUGAUGACCCCCCAAGGUCCUGGCAUCUUGAGCUUGAGAUAUGCAUAAUGCGGUACCGCAUUGAAUCUCGCAAAUGCAGUUCACCCGAGCAGUGCAUGGUAGCCACUGCGGAACGGGACUAUGUCAAAGAUUAACUCUUCGCUCCGGAAGUUAUCCGGGGAUCCGAAGAGCACUUCCAGUGUGACUGAGCCUGUGCAAUGGGCCUCUACACCUGGUAUGACGCCUUUAAAGGUCGUUUUUGUGGGUUUGAUCCUUGAGGGGUCUAUACCCAUUUUGCGCACUAUGUCCUGAUAAAGCAGGUUCAGGCUGCUGCCACCAUCGAUAAGGACUCGUGUGAGGUGAAAUCCGUCAAUGAUUGGGUCUAGGACCAGUGCGGCGAAUCCGCCUGACGGAUACUAGUGGGGUGGUCCCUGCGAUCGAAGGUGAUCGGACAGGAGGACCAUGGGUUGAACUUUGGGGCGACUGGCUCCAACGCAUAUACGUCCCUGAGCGCACGCUUCCGCUCCCUCUUGGGGAUGUGGGUUGCGUAUAUCAUGUUCACCGUCCGCACUUGUGGGGGGAACCUCUUUUGUCCUCCGGUGUUCCGCUGCCGGGGCUCCUCCUCGUCAUCGCUAUGUGACGCCUUAUCUUUGUUUUCAGCAUUUAACUUGUCGGCCUGCUCGAACACCCAACGAUCCCUGUUGGUGUGGUUGGCUGGCUUGUCGGGGGUGCCGUGUAUUUGACACGAGCGAUCGAGUAUACGGUCCAAACUGGACGGGCCCGGAGUGCUUCUUUUGAAUGGCUUUUUCCGCUGACCGGGUUUAGAGCCUUUGAAUCCGGCGUUGACUGGCGUAUCCUCGCUAUUGUCACUGUUAAUGCAGCGAUUAUGCUUGUUGCGACGUGACCUGCCGUUGCCGUCCUUGGUAUCCGAAGUACCAUGGUUCUUUGAUAUGUUAUUGCUGUGAGCCAACCAGCUGUCCUCUCCCGCACAGAAGCGGGUCAUGAGUGUCGUGAGGGCUGCCAUAGAUUUCGGCUUUUCCUGGCCAAGGUGCCAGGCGAGCCAUUCGUCGCGGAUGUUGUGCUUGAAAGCUUCUAGGGCCUCUACAUCUGGACAGUCGACGAUUUGAUUUUUCUUUGUUAGGAAUCGUGUCCAGAAUUGCCUGGCCGAUUCCUCUGGCUGCUGAAUUAUGUGGCUCAAGUCAUCGGCAUCUGGUGGUCGCACAUAAGUGCCUUGAAAGUUGUCGAGGAAUGCGGCUUCCAGAUCUUCCCAACAGCCAAUGGACUCUACUGGCAAGUUGUUGAGCCAAUGCCGAGCUGGUCCUUUGAGUUUGAGUGGGAGGUAUUUGAUGGCGUGUAGGUCAUCGCCGCGGGCCAUGUGGAUGUGCAGGAGGAAAUCCUCGAUCCAUACCGCAGGAUCUGUUGUGCCGUCAUAUGAUUCUAUAUUUACGGGUUUGAAACCCUCUGGGAUUUGAUGAACCAUUACUUCGUCUGUGAAGCAUAAGGGGUGUGCAGCACCUCUGUACUGGGCUAUAUCGCGACACAACUCAAAUGAGUCUUGCCCGCUUUGUUCGGCCCGACCGGACUUACUUUUACUAUAUCCGGCGUCACGAUUAUCGUCUCGCAUAGUGGCGCGCCCUCAUGAUCCGUAGAUCAAUCUUGCGGUUUUGCUUUGUCCUCCAUUACGUCUCACAGGUCUGGCGUAUUUCCUCAUGCCUUUUUAUUUGAAUGGCGUCGGGGUGUGGGCUGAGCUUUUGGCUGGAAUGCCUCUCUGUCGCGGCAACGAGGUGGCCGAUCAGCCGCGUCAUACGCCGGGGAUGUAGGUUUCGGUGCUUCCUCCUCCAGUCGGGGUAGCAACCUGCACUUUGGGUAACUCUUGGAGGGGCGUUCGAGUUUAUAUUCCUCGGCCGCCAGGACUUCAGUCCAUCUGUCAGCUAGCAAAUCUUGAUCAGCUUGAAGCUGUUGUUGCUUUUUCUUAAGGCUAUUUGCCGUGGCUAUAAGCCGGCGCUUGAAGCGCUCUUGUUCGACGGGAUCCUCUGGCAUGACGAAUUCGUCAUCAUCGAGGCUUGCCUCGUCUUCGGAGGGAGGCAUGUAAUUAUCAUCCUCCUCCUCUCCAUCUGUCGCUCUCUCAGAAGGGCUGGCUUCUCCAUCCUCCUGCUAUAAAUCUUGCUGGAGGGGAUUGUUGUUGCCUUCGGCACUUUUCGGAGUGCUAUUAUCUCCGGUGCCGGUAUCACCGCUUUUGCCUUGGCGGGACUUAGAGCGGCGCCGCUGACGCUGGCGCUUGGGUUGCUUCUUGGAGGGGUCAUCCUUCGCUGUCCCAUCGCCAUUGCCUUCUUUGGGUGUGUCCAUCAUGUAUAUGUCAUAUGAUGAGGUGGCUGUCCAGUGCCCUGUGGGCAGUGGUUCCUCUUCGCCUCCCGCAUCGUCGUCCAUACCGUCGAUGUCUUCGGAGUCGAAGUCGAGCAUGUCGGUUAAGUCAUCGACAGUGGCUACUAAGUGGGUGGUGGGUGGGCGGCGAAUUUCUUCGUCAUCUGCGUCCCAAUCCUGACGGACGUAGUUCAGCCAGGACUCUCCUGACAAGGAGAGAGACCUUAAUGAGUUUAGUAUGUCGACAAAGGGCGAGUGCUAAAAAAUAUCCGCGGAGGUAAACUCCAUGAUCGGCGCCCAAUCGGAUUCGAUAGGAACGGGUGCAGGCGGUUAGGAGUCCGUGGCCGGAGAAGGAUCCGACAGUUUGGCAACACGGCUCUCGUGAAGGGUAAGGUCGAUAUUCGGCUCGAUCGCCGCAGAGGAUACGACCUCCAUGGCAGGGUCUAUCCACCCGUCCAUGGAUGGCGCAACUGGCUCCAAAUUGAGGGUCGGAGCGGCUGCCGGUGCGAUUUCUUGAACACUGUCUGAUGGUAGAGCUAAAUCGUACUCAUCGUGACCGCGUGGCGCACAAGGCAGGGGCUCGAAUCCGUCGAAGAUCAAGUCUCCGCGGAUAUCGGCCGUGUAGUUUAAGCUUCCAAACCUGACCUGGUGGCCAGGGGCGUAACUUUCGAUCUGCUCCAGAUGGCCAAGUGAGUUGGCCCGCAGUGCGAAGCCGCCGAACACAAAGAUCUGUCCGAGGAGAAAAGUCUCACCCUGGAUUGCAUCGCUAUCGAUGAUCGUAGGAGCCAUCAAGCCUAACGGCGAUGACACAGAGGAACUCUCAAUGAAAGCACCAAUGUCGGUGUCAAAACCGGCGGAUCAUGGGUAGGGGGUCCCGAACUGUGCGUCUAAGGCGAAUGGUAACAGGAGGCAGGGGACACGAUGUUUUACCCAGGUUUGGGCCCUCUUGAUGGAGGUAAAACCCUACGUCUUGCUUGAUUUAUUCUUGAUGAUAUGAAUAUUGCAAGAGUUGAUCUACCAUGAGAUCAGAGAGGCUAAACCCUAGAAGCUAGCCUAUAGUAUGAUUGUCUGUUGUCCUACGGACUAAAACCCUCCGGUUUAUAUAGACACCGGAGGGGGCUAGGGUUACACAAGGUCGGUUACAAAGGAGGAGAUAUCCAUAUCCGUACUGCCUAGCUUGCCUUCCACUCCAAGUAGAGUCCUAUCCGAACAUGGGAAAAAGUAUUCAAUCUUGUAUCUUCAUAGUCCAACAGUCCGGCCAAAGGAUAUAGUCCGGCUGUCCGGAGACCCCCUAAUCCAGGACUCCCUCAGCGGGCGCGGGGCUGCGGCGGUUGGGCUCGGGUGGGCCCUCCUUGGGCUCGUCAGGCCACGGCAGCGGGGAAGGGUCUGGGGACACGUGGCGUGCCCUGAGUGGCUGAGGGAGGCGGCGGAUGCGUCCGGCCGGCGGCUGAUGUGUCCGGCGGUGCGGAGGGAUUGGAUCUAGGGUUUUGGACCCGGAUUUUGGACGAGGAGGACAUAUUUAUAGGUAGGAGGAGUUUGGAGUGCCCAAAUGGAGUGCAGUUUUCGCCCACGCGAUUGUGAUCCAACGACGGAGGACAUGGGAGUUGUUUGGAUGGGUUAAAGGGCCGUUUUGGAGGGGUGUUGGGCUGCAACACACAUGAGGCCUUUAUGGUUCGCUGGUUAACCGUUGGAGCAUCAAACGGACUCCAAAUGGCAUGAAAUUUGACAGGCGGUCUACCGGUGGUGUACCAAGGCCGCUUGGCAAAUCUCGGUCCAUUACGAGAAUGUUUAACACCCGCUCAUGAAAAGAGACAAAAGGGGACACCGGAGGACGUUGGAGUGUCAGAUUGCGAAACAGACAACGGGGAAAAUGCUCGGAUGCAUGAGACGAACGCAUAUGCAAAUGAGAUGCACAUGAUGACAUGAUAUGGAAUGUGUCAUGGAAUUGUCACGGCAGAUGUCCUAGUGGAAGGACUUAGUGGUAGGGCCAUCGCAACUAGGAAGCUUAAAGGGGUUAAUCGGGACAAAGGACACAAGAGGUUUUAUACUAGUUCGGCCCCUUACGAUGAAGGUAAAAGCCUACGUCUAGUUGUGUUUGGUAUUGCUGGGGUUUCGAUCACCAAGAGGCUAACUCGCUGGCUUGGUUAUCGAUCUCUUGUUUCUUGCCCUAAGCCGCCAUCGGGUCGUCCCCUUAUAUACACGGGUUUACGCCUGGUGGCCUACAGAGUCCCAGCCGGCUCAUAGUCGUAUCCGGCUCGGUGACUUCCUUUACAUGCCUUUCUUUACAAGUGUUCCCUUACAUACGAUAGUUUGUAAUAUUGGGCCUUAAGCCGCCUCUAGGCCUUUGGGCCUUCUAUACGAUUUAAUAACCUAUCAUCUUAAUGUUUACUGGGCUUCUUGUGUAACCCACCAUUGGGGCUGACCCGGCCCCUCUUGGGCGGGUCAUAACUGAUAGUUGUAUCCCCAACAUUAGGCCCCAGGUUGACUUUGUAUUUUGUUCUUUGUCAAUCUUCAACACUUAGACAAAGUCCAUAUUCUUAUCCUUGCAGAAGUUUUUGUAACCCGCCAUGACGUCAUCUCUUGGAAACGCAAAAAACUUUUAUGACGUCAUCUCCCAAUGGAUCUUCACCUUUAAUGUCUUCCGAGAAUCGAGGCGUCUGUGUAGUUGGAUAACAUUUAUUCGGCCCUUCCUCGAUUUUUGCACCCAUCUGUUCACAUUUUUCCUUAUAAAUAGGCACGCCUCGGCCUUCCUCAUUCUUCUCUCACUCUCCGUCUUCUUCCUCUCGCAACCCUCCUGCUGCUCGAGCCUCACCGCCGUCACGGUUCUCCCCCGUCUCCGUUGACCUUGGCCGCUGCAUCAACCUGAAUCAGUCCAGAGACGGCGGUGACCCCCGCAAAAGAUCUGUGGUUGUAAGUGUUCUCCUUUUCACUUCUCACAUCCGCAUUAGGGUUUCCAGAUUUCUUCGUGUUCUUCAUAGUUCAUCACAGUUCUUCGUAGUUCUUCCACCGCGGGCCUCUUCUUGAUCCAAAAAGAUAUAUAUGCUUGUGCAGUAGUGUUUUUGUGCCUACUCUUGAUGCCCACAGAUCCCUUUCUCUGGUUCAAAGAUCUCAUUGGAACUCACAGACUCAUCUGCGCUAAACUUUUUAGGUCUAGAAUUUUUUCAUUUUGAAUAGCCAUUUGAUCUGGAAUAAUACCAAGCAGUUAGGAAACUUGUUUGUCUCAACACUUAAUUGAAAUUGCUUUUCUCAAAUAUCUGUAGUCAUGGCGGCUUACUGUGCCGGCUUACUUUUGCUUAUAUGACAUUAGCCCUCAACUAAGCCGUCAUUACUUCCAUGUAUUAUCAUUAUUUAACUGUUAAUUUCACCAUGGAAUAGAACCGGCAUGUUGCCUUUCUUUCAGUUCAUUUUUGAACAUCAUGCCGUCCAAAGCGCCAACCAUCUACAACUGGGUUCCCUCAACUGAAACCAAGGAACAUUUGAAGGACUUCUUUUCCAUAGGGUUUUUGCCAGGGAAAACCGUCAUCUCUUACCGUGCCCCUGACCCGGAGGAAGAACGGCCCAAUCCAAGAGACGGGGAAGUGAUUGUUUUACUGACCAUAUGAACUGUGGCUUUUCACCGCCCAACUCAAAGUUCUUCAGAGAGGUCCUCCACCUUUUCAAACUCCACCCUCAAGAUAUCGGGCCCAACUCCAUAUCUAAUAUCUGCAAUUUCCAAGUGCUAUGUGAGGCGUACCUUCAGGAAGAGCCGACCGUGGAGCUGUUUAGAGAAUAUUUUUAUCUGAACCAGCAGAAUGAGUGCACCAACGGCCUUAGCUUGGAGCUUGGAGGCAUCUCAAUUUAGCGUCGGCAGGGCACUAUCUUCCCCCUCAUAGUCUUACCGAGUCAUCCCAAAGACUGGAACCAGACUUGGUUCUACUGUCAAGAUAUUUCACCAGCAAAUGAGAAGCCACUGUCGAGUUAUCGCGCCGAGCGUCUUGACUCCAAAUUCGCGCUCCCUAACAAGCUUACGGCUGCCGAACGUAGGAAGUUGAUCCCAUCCAUAAAAAGGAUUAAUGUAACACCCACGAUGCGGCUAUAUCUCCCACGUGUCGGAGCAUGACUUAGAGGCAUAGCCGCAUAGUAGGCAUGUCACAAGAGGGGUAAUCUUUACACAUCCCACGUAAUGAAUAAGAAAGGGAUAAAGAGUUGGCUUACAAUCGCCACUUCACACAAUACAUAAAUAUAGCAUUACAUCAACCAGAAUACAAUCAAGGUCCGACUACGGAACCAAAUAAAGAAACACAACCCCUAAUGCAAAAGAUCCCCGAUCUCCCCGACUGGGCUCCACUACUGAUCAACUGGAAAAAAAACACAACGAGCACGAUCUUCAUCAAGCUCCUCCUUGAGCUCGGUUGCGUCACCUGCAUGGUAUCAUCGGCACCUGCAACUGUUAGAAGUAAUCUGUGAGUCACGGGGACUCAGCAAUCUCACACCCGUGAGAUCAAGACUAUUUAAACUUAUGGGUGGGAAAAGGUAGUGAGGUGGAGCUGCAGCAAGCACUAGCAUAUAUGGUGGCUAACUUACGCAAAUGAGAGCGAGAAGAGAAGCAAAGCACGGUCUUGAACUAGAAGUGAUCAAGAAGUGAUCCUGAAACUACUUACGUUCAAGCAUAACUCCAAAACCGUGUUCACUUCCCGGACUCCACCAGAAAAAGACCAUCAUGGCUACACACGCGGUUGAUGCAUUUUAAUCGAGUUAAGUGUCAAGUUCUCUACAACCGGAUAUUAACAAAUUCCCAUCUGCCCAUAACCACGGGCAUGACUUUCGAAAGUUCAAAACCCUGCAAGGGUGUCCCAACUUAACCCAUCACAAGCUCUCACGAUCAACGAAGGAUAUUCCUUCUCCCAGGAAGACCCGAUCAGACUUGGAAUCCCGGUUACAAGACAUUUCGACAAUGGUAAAACAAGACCAGCAAAGCCGCCCGAUGCGCCGACAUCCUGAUAGGAGCUGCACAUAUCUCGUUCUUAGGGCAACACCGGAUGAGACAUGCUACGAGUAAAACCAACCCUCAAGUUUCCUCGAGGUGGUCCCCCAAUCUACUCAGUUCGGACCAACACUUAGAGAAGCACUGGCCCGGGGGGGGGGGGUUAAAAUAAAGAUGACCCUUGAGUCUACAGAACCCAAGGGAAGUGUAGGAUCUAGAAGUAGAUGUGUCUAGAGGGGGGUGAUUAGACACUUAGUGCUAAAGUUGCAAUUUUUAAGCUUUUUCGGUUUGAGUGGAGUUUUAGACACAAUUUCAACACACACAAUACAUAUCAAGCAAGCAUGCAAAGAGUAUAUGAGCAGCGAAAUGUAAAGCAUGCAACUUGCAAGAAUGUAAGGGGAAGGGUUUGGAGAAUUCAAACGCAAUUGGAGACACGGAUGUUUUUCCCGUGGUUCGGAUAGGUGGUGCUAUCCUACAUCCACGUUGAUGGACACUUCAACCCACAAAGGGUAACGGUUGCGAGAGUCCACGGAGGGCUCCACCCACAAAGGGCAACAGUUGUGCGAGUCCACAUAGGGCUCCACCCACGAAGGGUCCACGAAGAAGCAACCACCCACAUAGGGUCCACGAAGAAGCAACCUUGUCUAUCCCACCAUGGCCAUCGCCCACACAGGACUUGCCUCACUAGCGGUAGAUCUUCACGAAGUAGGCGAUCUCCUUGCCCUUACAAACUCCUUGGUUCAACUCCACAAUCUUGUCGGAGGCUCCCAAGUGACACCUAGCCAAUCUAGGAGACACCACUCUCCAAGAAGUAACAAAUGGUGUGUAGGUAAUGAACUCCUUGCUCUUGUGCUUCAAAUGAUAGUCUCCCCAACACUCAACUCUCUCUCAUAGGAUUUGGAUUUGGUGGAAAGAAGAUUUGAGUGGAAAGCAACUUGGGAAGGCUAGAGAUCAAGAUUCAUAUGGUAGGAAUGGAAUGUCUUGAUCUCAACACAUGAGUAGGUGGUUCUCUCUCAGAACAUAUGAGUUGGAAUUGUGUAUGUGUUCUGAUGGCUCUCUCCUCGAAUGAAGAGGUGGUGGAGGGGUAUAUAUAGCCUCCACACAAAAUCCAACCGUUACACACAGUUUUCCAAUCUCGGUGGGACCGAAUCAACAAACUCGGUCGGACCGAAAUGUAAACCUAGUGACCGUUAGAGAUUUUCGGUGGGACCGACUGGAUCAACUCGGUGGGACCGAUGUGCUAGGGUUAGGGUAAAUCCAAAACUCGGUUUGACCGAUUACUCAAACUCGGUGGGACCGAUUUGGGUAAUAAGUGAAACUGAGAUUUGGUCAAGCAAACUCGGUGGGACCGAUUGCAUAUCUCGGAGGGACCGAGAAUAUUGCAAUGGGUAACAGAGAGUUUGCAAGCCCAUCUCGGUGAGACCGAGAUCCCAUCGGUGAGACCGAACUGAUUAGGGUUUGGCAGUGGCUUAUGACAAGUGAAACUCGGUGGCGCCGGAUAGGAAGAAUAGGUAGGACCGAGUUUGGCUUAGGGUUUAGGUCAUAUGUGGAAGUGGGAAAGUAGCCGAGGAUUUUGGAGCAUAUCAUUAAGCACAUGAAGCAAGAGGCUCAUUAAGCAACACCUCAUCCCUCCUUGAUAGUAUUGGCUUUUCUUAUGGACUCAAUGUGAUCUUGGAUCACUAAAAUGUAAAAUGAGGAGUCUUGAGCUUGAAGCUUUAGCCAAUCCUUUGUCCUUAGCAUCUUGAAGGAGUUCCCACAACCUUUAGUCCCUGCCACUCUGAAACAUGCUAGAUAGAAAUGUUAGUCCAACAAGAGAUAUGUUGUCAUCAAUUAUCAAAACCACCUAGGGAGCACUUGUGCUUUCAAUCUCCCCCUUUUUGGUAAUUGAUGGCAACAUACAUCAAAGCUUUAGAUAAAGAUAUAAAGAACAGCAAGUAAAGCUUUGGAAGGACAUGUAACAAGCAUAGACUCCCCCUACAUGUAUGCACUCAUGUAAAUAUGAAAUAUAGAGGCAUGUGAGAGCAUAACCAUGACAGAGUAGGCAAUGUGUUACAUGUAUCUUGGCCAUAUGCAUCAGAGCAAAAGAUUAUCAAGGAAAAAUACCUUCAUGCUCAUGAGUCCUUCUUGCAAACAGUAUGUACAUAAGCAAGAACUCCUCAUACUCAUGAUUUUGAUGCAUAUACUUACCUUGUGGUCUUGAGUUGGCUUUGGAUGGAAUGAACCUGCACAAACAAAGUUAGAUAACACAGGUACAUUCACUAGCCAGAGCAAACAAAAGAAACCACAAGAAUACCAAGACUGGGAUGACAUGUAGAGAGUGAGUAUAAGGUACCACAUUGGAUUCAACAUGUCCCCAAGAAUAAAGAUAUGCAAUGAAUUUGACUGAUUUCUUUCCCUUAGGUGUCUUGCUCCCCCUGAAUCUUACAUGGGAUAUUGGGAGAAGAUAAGGAACAGCAAAUCAGAGCUGGAAGAUACAAAUGAACAUGUCUUUCCCCCUAAAAAGACAUGUGACAUCUCUCCUCUUGAACAUCAAGCAUCAAGCAUCUGGGAUCCUUGAGUAUUCUCUCCCCCUGGAAGUCUCUCUCUCCCCCUUAACUUGUAGGUUUGGUCCUUGAGACUUUUUCUCUCCCUUGAUGUGAUCUCUCUCUCCUACAAGCUUUGAUGUGAUCUCUCUCUCCCCCUUUGACAUCAAUUUACAAGAAGGGCUUUCUGGAAUCCGUAGUAUAGGUUUGGUCCUUGAGACUCAGCACAAAGCAAAGGAUAAAAUUGUGAUGCUUGUAGAGGACAAGAUUCAUUGAGUGGAGCUGGAUCAGAAGAAAUGUAGAACAAGUGGCAAACUGUUUUUCUGAUUGCAAAGUCGGUGGCACCGAGUGGCAUAUUUCGGUGGUACCGAAAAGAUUCGGUUGGACCGAAAAUUGCAAGUCGGUGAAACCGAGUUUACACAGAGAAAAACACUUGUCACCUCAGCUCACUAGACAUGUAGGAUCUCACAAAGAUUUGCAAUGAAUUACCUGAAGGAUUUGCAAGGAAUUAAAUGCAGAAAAUGCAGAACAAAAACAAAGAGAAAAGAGAAGAAACUGAAAGAUCUAGAUGAAGUUUUUUUUUGAAAAGGGAGAGAGAAAAUAAACAUGCAUGAGACAAAUGCAAUAACACAAAGAAAGAACACAAGAGAGCUUCAUCUAGAGUUGGGCGGUGACAUAGUCACCUAUGUUAGAGUAUAUUGACUUAGGAGUCAAGUGAGAACACUUGAUCAUAGGUCAUACUCAUCGUUUAAGCUCAAAAUGGGGUUACCAUUUUUCGUAUAAACAUCUUGAUGUAUUCACAUCUUGUUGAGUUUCUUUGACUCAUGUCUUGGAGUAAAGCUUCCCUAAGAUGGAAUAACAUACCUUGGGUGGUGGUGUGGUUCUUGCUCAUGUAGUUGAACUUGUGUGGGUGCUCAAGGUUGAUGUAGCUCAUCAAGAGUUGGGAGCACCACUUGGAGUUUGAGUUCAUCUACCUACAUGGGUUAGUUCUUGCAAGGAAGAGCACUUGUGUAUCCAAAAAUGACAAUCAUGAAGCUUAACAUAGAAUUUGUCAAAGGAUAUGUUUGAAUGGUUUUGUGCUUCCUUGUCUUCAACCACCAUUGUGUAGAGUCUUGGUGAUGUAGAGAUUGCUCAAGAUGUGAGUGAUUCGCAAUCUCAUGGAAUUAGAUUCAACCAAGCACCUACAUGGGUUAGACAACAUGCAAGGUACAAAUAUAUCCAAGACAUAAGAUAGUUAUCAUAAGAGAUAUAUCAUGGAUUAGUCAUAAGCUCAUGUCUUGCAUGUAUCCAAUGGAGUUUCUACUCCAAGUUCAAAGCAUCAAUGAUGUUUAAUUCUCCUCUCAACCUGCAAAACACUUUCUCAUCAAGAGGUUUAGUAAAUAUAUCCGCUAAUUGCUUAUCGGUGCAAACAUGCUUAAGAUUAAUGUCACCCUUAGCAACAUGAUCUCGAAUGAAAUGAUGACGAACUUCAAUAUGAUUAGUUCGAGAAUGUUGUACAGGAUUAUGACCAAUUUUGAUAGCACUUUCAUUGUCACAAAGCAGUGGAACAUGUUUCACAUAAAUCCCAUAAUCUUUAAGAGUUUGGGUCAUCCAAAGUAAUUGAGCACAACAUGAACCAGCGGCAAUGUAUUCCGCUUCGGCGGUGGAUAAGGAUACCGAGUUUUGUUUCUUGGAAGACCAAGACACAAGGGAUCUACCAAGAAAUUGACAAGUACCCGAAGUGGACUUUCUAUCAACCUUGUCUCUGGCAUAAUCCGAGUCGGAAUAGCCAACAAGAUCAAAAGAAGACCUCUUAGGAUACCAAAUGCCAAAAUUUGGUGUAUGGAUUAAAUAUCUCACUAUCCUUUUUACAGCCUUAAGAUGACAAUCUUUAGGAGCAGCUUGAUAUCGUGCACACAUACACACACUUAGCAUAAUAUCGGGACGUGAAGCACAUAGGUAUAACAAUGAACCAAUCAUAGAGCGAUAAACCUUUUGAUCAACUGGUUCACCAUCUUUGGUCAAAUCAUUAUGUCCACUAGUAGGCAUGGGUGUAGACAUACCUUUGCAUUCUUGCAUAUUGAACUUCUUGAAUAAGUCCUUGGUGUACUUUGUUUGAGAGACAAAUGUACCUUCCUUAGUUUGCUUGAUUUGCAAACCGAGAAAGAAUUUGAGUUCACUCAUCAUAGACAUCUCAAACUUCUCUGACAUUAGCUUUCCAAACUUUUCACUAAAGAGAGGGUUAGUUGAACCAAAUAUGAUAUCAUCGACAUAAAUUUGGCAUACAAAUAGUUCUCCAUUAACCCUUUUAGUAAAAAGAGUAAAAUCAAUUUUACCAAUUUCAAAACCACUUGUAGUAAGGAACUUGGUCAAGCAUUUAUACCAUGCUCUAGGAGCUUGUUUAAGACCAUAAAGAGCCUUGUGAAGUUUGUAAACAUGAUUUGGUUUCUUAGGAUUGAUAAAGCCUGGAGGUUGUUUGACAUAAACUUCCUCCUCUAUUUCACCAUUUAGAAAAGCACUUUUAAUGUCCAUUUGGUACAAGGUGAUAUUAUGGUGAUUAGCAUAGGCAAGUAAGAUGCGAAUGGACUCAAGUCUAGCAACGGGAGCAUAUGUCUCACCAUAGUCCAUACCUUCGACUUGUGUGUACCCUUGGGCGACGAGACAUGCUUUGUUGCGAACCACUUGUCCAUCUUCAUCUUGCUUGUUGCGAAACACCCAUUUGGUACCAAUGAUGUUGUGGUUGUUGUCGGGCUUCUCAACCAAUGUCCAAACUUGGUUUCUCUCAAAAUUAUGUAGCUCUUCAUGCAUAGCGUUUAUCCAAUCCGGAUCUUCCAAUGCUUCUUCAACCUUCAUAGGUUCAAUGCUAGAGAUGAAUGAAUAGUUUUCACAAAAGUUAGCUAAACGAGUUUUUGAGCGAGUGAUUCUCCCGGUUUGUAUAUCAUUGAGGAUUUGCUCAACGGGAUGAUCUUUGGCAAUUCUUGCUCGAACUCGUGAGAGCUUUUGCUUGGGUCUUCGUUGAGCAUCUUCUUCAUCUUGUUCUUCUUCUUGGCCUUCUUCAUUGUUGACGUCGUCGUUCUCUUGUCGUGGUGGAGAAGGAGGUUGUUGAUGUUCGUCUUGAUGUAUUUCCUCGUUUUCUUCAUCUUGGUGUGUCCCACUUGUGGAUGCUUCCGUGUCGAUUCUUGGUUCACCUUGUCGUGAAGUAGAAGCUUCCACUUGGACGGAUGAAGUAUUCUCCUUCACCUCCGUUGGACAAAUUUUGCCAAUGGACAAGUCUUGAAUUGCUUCUGAGGGGUCUUUGUCUCCUACAUCAAUUGGCAAUUUAUCUACUUGCGAGCCAUUAGAUUCAUCAAACUUCACAUCUACCGUCUCUUCAACCUUUUGGGUGAAAUUGUUGUAGACACGGUAAGUGUGAGAGUUUGAGCCAUAACCAAGUAGAAAACCUUCAUGAGAUUUAGGAGCAAACUUUGAACGACGAUGCUUAUCAAGAAUGUAGCACUUUGAGCCGAAUACUCGAAAGUAUCCAACUUGGGGUUUGUUACCGGUGAGAAGCUCGUAUGCCGUCUUGCCGAGUAGCUUGUGAAGAUACAAGCGAUUUGUUGCGUGACAAGCUGUCUCAACCGCUUCUGCCCAAAAGUGCUUUGGCGUCUUGUAUUCAUCAAGCAUCGUUCUUGCCAUUUCGAUGAGCGUCCGGUUCUUCCUCUCAACAACUCGAUUUUGUUGAGGUGUGUACGUGGCCGAGAACUCGUGUGAAAUCCCUUCUUCGUCAAGAAAGGUGUCCACAUUUGCGUUCUUGAACUCCGUUCCGUUGUCACUCCGAACCUUCUUGAUCUUCAUGUCAAACUGAUUUUGGGCCUUCCUAGCGAAGUUUCUGAAGAUCUUCUGGACCUGCGACUUGUCAUUAAGAAAGAACACCCACGUAAAUCUUGAAAAAUCAUCAACUAUAACUAGACCAAAAGAAUUUCCACCGAGACUCUUGUAGGCGUUGGGACCAAAAAGAUCCAUGUGAAGUAGCUCGAGUGGCCUCCGUGUGGUCAUGAUGUUCUUCACGGGAUGUCUUCCUCCAACCUGUUUACCUGCUUGACAAGCACUGCAAAGUCUAUCCUUAUCAAAUAUGACAUCGUUAACUCCAAGGAUAUGAUUUCCUUUAAUAAGCUUGUCAAGGUUUCUCAUGCCAACGUGACCUAGUCGUCUAUGCCACAACCAACCUUUUGAGGAUUUAGCAACAAAGCAAGUUUUAGGUUGUGCCUUUUUAGAGAAAUCGACGAUGUAAAGAUCACCUCUACGCAUACCGUUCAAAACCAUUUUAUGAUUGUCUCGACGAAAUACUUGGCAAUCUACCUCAGUAAAUAGGACAUUCAAACCGAAAUCAGCAAGUCUAGAUACUGAAAGUAAGUUGUAGCCAAGAGAUUCAACGAGCAUGACAUUUUGAAUGGAACUAUCAUGUGAGAUGGCCACCUUACCAAGGCCAACCACUUUACCCUUUGAAUUAUCACCAAAGGUGACAUAUUUUCGAGGGCCGUCAUUUUCAGCAAGCUCACGAAACAUCUCUUCAUCUCCGGUCAUACGAUCAGUACAUCCACUAUCAAGAACCCAUUCCUUUCCUCCUGAUUCAUAUCCCCGAAGAUUUGCCAUAAGACCAAAAUGUCUCAUUGCAUCAUCAAGAUCGAAGUCACUAUCAUCAUCAUCAUAGUAUCCAUGUUCAUCAUGAUCUUGUGACUCAUCAUUUCCUAGAGAGGGUAAUUCAUUAGAUAAAUGAUCAUCAAAGUGGUCACUUCUAUGAAUUCUUAUAGCUUUGAAUAUGAUAUCAUUAAUGAUUCCAACAUCUCCUUUAGCAAGCUUAAGAUUGGUAAGUUCAAAUAGACAAUUACCAAAACUAGGAUCACUAGAGUUCAUCUUACUCAAGGCAAUAGAUUUAUGGAGAAUUUCAUCCAAAGUUUUCAAGGAAUGAUCGGGAAAUCAUUCCUCAAGAAAUUUCCAUAUAGUAUAGGCACAAUUAAGAGUAGGCAAACUAGCAAUCAAAUUUUUGGGCAAUCCUCUAAUGAUGAGCUCAAUAGUUCUAAGAUUGCGAAUCAUGUCAAUAUCUUCAUCUAGGGUAGGAUGCAAAGGAUCAAUAUGAGGUGCACAAGGGCUAGCAAUAUACUUGUUCAAAUGAUAUUGAUUGAAGAUUACAAGCAUCUCAUUUUUCCACUCACGAAAAUACUCUCCAUCAAGAAUAGGCACUCUAUGUCUAAGACUCCCUAAUGUAGACACAUCCAUCUUCCUCCAAUGGUGAUUAAACCAAGGCAAUGGAGACCAAAGCUCUGAUACCACUUGUAGGAUCUAGAAGUAGAUGUGUCUAGAGGGGGGUGAUUAGACACUUAGUGCUAAAGUUGCAAUUUUUAAGCUUUUUCGGUUUGAGUGGAGUUUUAGACACAAUUUCAACACACACAAUACAUAUCAAGCAAGCAUGCAAAGAGUAUAUGAGCAGCGGAAUGUAAAGCAUGCAACUUGCAAGAAUGUAAGGGGAAGGGUUUGGAGAAUUCAAACGCAAUUGGAGACACGGAUGUUUUUCCCGUGGUUCGGAUAGGUGGUGCUAUUCUACAUCCACGUUGAUGGAGACUUCAACCCACAAAGGGUAACAGUUGCGAGAGUCCACGGAGGGCUCCACCCACAAAGGGCAACGGUUGCGUGAGUCCACACAGGGCUCCACCCACGAAGGGUCCACGAAGAAGCAACCACCCACAAAGGGUCCACGAAGAAGCAACCUUGUCUAUCCCACCAUGGCCAUCGCCCACACACGACUUGCCUCACUAGCGGUAGAUCUUCACGAAGUAGGCGAUCUCCUUGCCCUUACAAACUCCUUGGUUCAACUCCACAAUCUUGUCGGAGGCUCCCAAGUGACACCUAGCCAAUCUAGGAGACACCACUCUCCAAGAAGUAACAAAUGGUGUGUAGGUAAUGAACUCCUUGCUCUUGUGCUUCAAAUGAUAGUCUCCCCAACACUCAACUCUCUCUCAUAGGAUUUGGAUUUGGUGGAAAGAAGAUUUGACUGGAAAGCAACUUGGGAAGGCUAGAGAUCAAGAUUCAUAUGGUAGGAAUGGAAUGUCUUGAUCUCAACACAUUAGUAGGUGGUUCUCUCUCAGAACAUAUGAGUUGGAAUUGUGUAUGUGUUCUGAUGGCUCUCUCCCCGAAUGAAGAGGUGGUGGAGGGGUAUAUAUAGCCUCCACACAAAAUCCAACCGUUACACACAGUUUUCCAAUCUCGGUGGGACCGAAUCAACAAACUCGGUCGGACCGAAAUGUAAACCUAGUGACCGUUAGAGAUUUUCGGUGGGACCGACUGGAUCAACUCGGUGGGACCGAUGUGCUAGGGUUAGGGUAAAUCCAAAACUCGGUUUGACCGAUUACUCAAACUCGGUGGGACCGAUUUGGGUAAUAAGUGAAACUGAGAUUUGGUCAAGCAAACUCGGUGGGACCGAUUGCAUAUCUCGGUGGGACCGAGAAUAUUGCAAUGGGUAACAGAGAGUUUGCAAGCCCAUCUUGGUGAGACCGAUAUCCCAUCGGUGAGACCGAACUGAUUAGGGUUUGGCAAUGGCUUAUAACAAGUGAAACUCGGUGGCGCCGGAUAGGAAGAAUCGGUAGGACCGAGUUUGGGUUAGGGUUUAGGUCAUAUGUGGAAGUGGGAAAGUAGCUGAGGAUUUUGGAGCAUAUCAUUAAGCACAUGAAGCAAGAGGCUCAUUAAGCAACACCUCAUCCCUCCUUGAUAGUAUUGGCUUUUCUUAUGGACUCAAUGUGAUCUUGGAUCAGUAAAAUGUAAAAUGAGGAGUCUUGAGCUUGAAGCUUUAGCCAAUCCUUUGUCCUUAGCAUCUUGAAGGAGUUCCCACAACCUUUAGUCCAUGCCACUCCAUUGUUGAACUUAUCUGAAACAUGCUAGAUAGAAAUGUUAGUCCAACAAGAGAUAUGUUGUCAUCAAUUAUCAAAACCACCUAGGGAGCACUUGUGCUUUCAGGAAGGUGAUAGGUUGUUAGUGCAAAAGUAAAACCAAGGUUGGGCCUUGCUGGAGGAGUUUUAUUCAAAGCGAACUGUCAAGGGGUUCCCAUUAUAACCCAACCGCGUAAGGAACGCAAAAUAAAGGAACAUAACACCGGUAUGACGGAAACUAGGGCGGCAAGAGUGGAACAAAACACCAGGCAUAAGGCCGAGCCUUCCACCCUUUACCAAGUAUGUAGAUGCAUUAAGUAAAUAAGAUAUAUUGUGAUAUCCCAAACAAAUCCAUGUUCCAACAUGGAACAAACUCCAAUCUUCACCUGCAACUAACAACGCUAUAAGAGGGGCUGAGCAAAGCAGUAACAUAGCCAAACAAUGGUUUGCUAGGAAAGGCGGGUUAGAGGCUUCACAUGGCAAUAUGGGAGGCAUGAUAUAUUAAGUGGUAGGUAUCGCGGCAUAGCAAAAGAGCGAGCAACUAGCAAGCAAAGAUAGAUGUGAUUUCGAGGGUAUGGUCAUCUUGCCUAAAAUCCCGCAAGGAAGAAGAACGAGUCCAUGAAGAAGACAAGCGGACGUAGUCGAAUGAAUCCUCACAACUCCGGAACGGAACCAAAGCUAACGAGAGAAGUGACCCGGAAAGAAGCAAGCAACAUAGUAAACAACCAUCACAUAAUCAUGACAUGAUGCACAACCAAGUAGGAUGCAUGUCCGGUUAAUGAGGCAUGUCAUGGCAAGGUGCACAAAUAACACUACAAAUUAAGUGGAGCUCAAUAUGCAACGGAGUUGCAUAUUGAAGAAAACACCACAUGACUUAUUUAGUUCUCUCUCGUUUAGGUACUCAACAAUAUUAAAUGUUGGUUAGCAUAGCAAGAGGUGAGGCAUAACAAAACUAUACUGUCUAGACAAAUUAAAUGGGGCCGGAUAUAACAAACAACAAAUUCGGUAAAUCCCCAUAUGCAUUAGCAAUUUAAAGCAACAACAAUUUUAAACAUUUUAAAUGUUAUUAUCAUGAUGCGGAUGACAUGCAAGUUUUAUGCAAUAUUUAUUAAAAAUUGACAUGAGCAUGAUGAGAGCAUUUGUCAUCGUGGCGGAAACAAAAGGGGUGCCACGGCGACGAUAAUGAAACGGUGCCAUGGCAACGUUCUGGUUCCGACAACUCAUUGAGACGCCGGUGCAACAGAAAGUGUGGCGGGAGAAUGCAAAAGAUGGUGGGGUGAUCCCGGUUACCGGGUGUCCCAUGAGUCGAUGGCAAGGAAGCGAGAGACACUACGGACACGGUGCAGACAAAGGGUACAUGCCAUACAACACAACAAUCAUUCUUGGAAGGUCAUCUCGGCGGUUAUACCUUUGUAGCGUGCAUUAUCGGAGCGGUUCGCGUUCGAUGCGGUGUAGGGGAAGUAGAUGUUCUCGGGAUGUCCAUAGUGGAAUUAGUGGUACUAUUGGCCAUCGAUGAUCAAUGGGACGGUAGUGGAAGUAGAGGUACACGACGUCUUGUCCAAAAUCAUGGCGGUAGUAGUUGUACCCCUGUUGUCAUCGAACUUGAUGGAACCAAUGUCCUCGAGGGUAGUCGUGGGAAGUAGUCGUACUCGCGAACUUAUCGGAUCCACGGGGACGGUAGUUGUUCCCGGCGCUUGUGACUCGCGGUACUUCGGGCAACAGUAGUCGUACACGUCCAUAGAUGUUCGGGGUCGCGACAUGGAACUUGACGUCCACGGGGUCUUCGAGGGUCAACGGUAGUGGUACUCGGGUCGUCGGUGACGGUAGUUGUUCUAUGCAUCGGGCAUCAAUGUACUUGUUGUUCUUAGCGAUUCCGAAGACGGCGGUAGUGGUACACUUUCGAAAAGGGACUUGACGCAUCAAAGGUCUUCGGUGCCACGGUACUUGUAGGUCCGGGUCUUGACGUAUCCAAAAUGGUCAUCGGUGGUGGAACUUGGCGCUGUUGUGGUGGACGUUCGGGCACCGUGCGUCGUGGUACUUGGCGUUCUCAUCCUUGUCAAUCCAAAACAACACUAACCCCAAAAGGCCUCUGGUGGGCAGUAGGAAGGACUAGCGGUGCGUGAGCAGCGGCAGGAAGCGGGCACGCUCAAGGGAGAGCAGCAGAGGCCAGUAGCAACAGACGAUGGUGGAUUUGGGCAACAGGCGCGACGACGCUGGGAACCGGGCGGACGCAAGCAGGUCCGGGCGGCGCCAGCAGCAGAGUUCGUCGGAGAGAGCAGCUCGGGCAGGAGUUCGUCAGCACGGGGAGGAGGCUGGCCGAGGCCAUGGACGCAGCAGCAGGGCGACGCCGGACAUUGAACGGCGAGGGUGAGGGGGGUCCAGCGGAGCUCGGGCUCCCGGCUAGAAGGACGAACGGGGAGGAGGAGAUCCGGCGCGGGCACGGGGUUCUUGAAGGUCGAGGUCGCCGAGUAGCCGCGGAGGUGGACUUGGCGCUUGCUCCAGCGAAAAGACGGACGACGAGGCGUCUGAGGCAGGGAAGGAGCACGGGCGACGCGCUUGGGGGCCGGCACGGUGGUCUCCAUGGUCGUGCGGUCCACGAGAAGGUACAUGGCAGCGCCCCUCGCCGGAGGCAGGGAGGCAGCAGUGAUCCGGCGAGGCGGUGCAGUAGAGGUAGGCAAGGGGACGCAAGCUCCUAGCACUAGCUACGGGGAGCUGUGCGGGUGUGUGUGUGUGCGCGGCGGCGGUGAGGGAACGAGAGGAGAAGCGGGGAUCGAGGCUAGGGAGCGGCGGUAGCGGGAGGACGCGAGGGAGCGAUGGGAGAGGGAGAGAGCGAUGCGAGAGAGGCCGAGGCCUAGGGUUAGGGCAUGCGGGCUGGGCCUGCUGGAGCACAGCUGGGCCUAGCAGGCCGGCCCAGUGGGGAGGGUGCCGGCUGAAGGGCUUGCGGGGUUGGGCUCUGUCUCUCUCUCUCUUAACCCCUCUUCUAUUGCCCAAAAAAAGAAAAAAAACAACAAAGGAAAGAAAAAGAAAAGAAGGGCGGAGACAGGAUUUGGGCACGGGGAUAAUUUUCCCGAACUCAUAAAAAUAUGCUUGUUCCGAGAAAAUAGAAAAGGUGAAGAUUGAAAGAUGUAACAUUCAAACUCGUUUGAAUUUAAUUCCAACGGGUUUGAACUAGGACCAGAUUUAAGAGUGGCCAAAAUAUUGAGAUUUUUGAUGGAGCUCCGAAAAUUGAAGAAAGAGUUUAUGGGCAAAGUUUGAGGACCAAACUUGAAGCGGAAAAAGGCAUGUGAUUAUUUGCAAGUGUGUUAAAGGUAAUUCCAAAAAAAUGGAAUAAUUUUAUUAUAGCUCCCUAAUAGUAUUGAGAGGCUUUAAUAUGUUAUAAAGAGAAAUCACAAGUGAAUUCCCUCGAUUUAAAUGGAUCGAAGACCCAUACAGUUUAUUUAGUUGAGUUAAGAAAAAGAAAUGGCAUGAUGGCAUGAUGACAUGAUGCAAUGCACACGAUGCAAAGAUAAAUGCAAUGAACCAAACAAAUCACACGACGGAACCCGUAAUCCCUGGAAGGCAUCUGAAGCUCCGGUCUUGGGGCGUCACAACACUCCACCACUACGAGAGGAUCCCGUCCCGAGAUCUAGGAUGGCACCGGAGAGAAAAGGAGGGGAAGAUAAGAGGUAAAACUAAGUUGCUUCUUUGACAAACGAGUGAAACCACGAACCUUGGGAGGUUGAGCAAAUUGAAAGAAAGAAUACAACGAAGAUGAACAAAGUUGAAAACAAUCCGUUAGAAAAGAGGAACAAGGAACAUUACGGGAACCUUGUAGGUUGGCAGACAUAAGAAAAGGGUUUCAAUGGACAAGAAGUACAUGCAAACACUCCCGUUGAAACAAGAUGUACAAGGAACGAUAAAGAUCAAUUAUGACAACACUCCGGUUGGAAAUGGAAGGUAAAGACUAUGAACUUGGCAAAAAUGAAAGCACUUAGAUGAGACUUUGGUUAGAAGAGGAAUGAUAGCCACAACACUCCAGUUAAAACAAAAUAGAGAAGGAAUAAGGAUGAUAUAAUUUGGACAUCACUCCGACUGUAAAUGGAAGGAAUUGAAGACGAGCUUGAAAAGAUGAGAAGAUACUUGACGAAAUCCACAACACACUGCCUCCGGAACUAUUUAAAGAAAGGCACAAUGGGUAAGAAAGAUUUCAGACAGCACUCCGUUUGAGAAGGAAGGCAAAACUUGAUAAGAUGAGAGAACUUGGAAAGAUGGCACGCCACUCCGGUUAAAUGGAUAAGCAUGAAAAGAACAUGGUCCUAACAAUCCGAGAUGAUGAGUGAAGAGAGCAACAUCACAAUGCCUCCGGAACGAAUGAAUGGAAACCUAGAUGGUUGGAAAGAAAAGAACGGAAAAGAAGAAUGACAACUCUCGCAAAUAAAAUUCAAAGAGCAUGUUUACAAAGAAAAGGUUGAACGGAGUUGUUGGAUUAUCAACAACGAAAAGAGUAAGCUUGAAGUGGGCUUAUGGAAAACAUCCCAAAAUUAUGAGGUGAAAUUCUUCCACUAACGAAACAAUAGAUUGGUUGAUAUCAACAAGGAGACGAUAAACUUAUUCACCGGGAGGAUAAAUGAAGAACUUGGGUCAUUUAUGAGCACCAUAAAUAGCAACAAUCCUUAGGGAAGGCUUUAGGUGAAACAUGGCACAAGAUAACUCCAACGAAGAGGUUGAUUGGUUGAAAAGAUGUCUUGAGCGAAGAGAAAAUGAUGGAUUUAGAUAUGUCACUCUUGAAAAACUUGUGAAUCGUGAAACAUGAAGGGAAAAUUAUCAAUAAUGACAUAACACCACCUCAAAAGAUAAGAUAGAACGAAGAGGACUUUGGGAUGCAAGAUGCAGAAUGCUUGAACUCCUCUGAAAAGAAUCUCAAUGAACACUUCGAGAAGAAAUAGAAUCCUUGAUCAACCAUCAUGUAGAGCCUCCAUGAAGAACUCCGGUAAGAAAAUAAUGAACAAACGAAAGGAAAGAGAAGUUGAAAACACAAGGUGAAGAUUUGCAAUGAUUAGAUGGAUCUUCGUGAUGAUAUAAUGCGAAAAACAUGGAACUCCGGAAAAGAAAAGAUAAAGAAUCUCGAACCGAGAAUGUGAUAUGAUGAACCACUCCGGAAAGCAGAAAUUGGAUUUACUCGAUGAAACAAGAAUAAGAAUUACAUUAUGCUUAUCCUUCAUCAAUUUAGAUUGAUGACAAGUAUGGAUUUGGCAUACUACUUAUUCUCGUUGAAAGGAUUAAGAGAGAUAUGGCGCAAACUAGAGAAGAUCUUCAAUGAACCACCGGUAGGAUUGAAACAACGAAUAAAUUGAUAUGAUAAACGAAGGAAGAAGAAUCUUGGAAGAACCAUCGUAAGAAUUAAAAAUGAAAGAAGAUACUUGAGAAGAAUUUAGAUACAAGUGAAACGAAGAGAUCAUGAACUGAUUAGAGGACAUUUGAAUGAUGCACCGGUAUGAUUUGGAGAACGAGAGCUGAAAGCUGAGAAUGAAUAAUCUUGCAAUGAUGGUCUUCGGAGAAUCAAACUGAAAAGACUCUUGAGUUGCUACGGAUGGUUGAAAAGAAUUCUCACAAUCGGAAAAAAUUAUGAGCGGAUGACAUCAAGCUAGAACCGCGAAUCUUGAGAUAACGAAUAAGAUUGCAGAGAAAAACUCUUCUUCGGUCUUCACAUGUUGAGAAUGAUGACGAGAAACACUACCAAGAAUUUUUAGACACUCCGGGAGAAUCAAAAGCGAAGAGGUUGAGCCAACGAUGAAAAGAAUUUGACAGAUCUUGGAGAAAGGCAUUUGACUGAUGAAAAUUCAUUCUUACGUCAAACUUUGAAAUGAAUUCGAGAAUAGCUCCGAGAAAAAAUUAGAAGAGUCAGGUAAGAUCCUGGGAAAAGACCUGUGGGUUAGGGCCCACUCAAAAGAAACACCGUUGAAGGAUUUAAAAGAUAUAUUGCAUCGGUUGAAUUAAAUGGCUUGAAUGAGAUAACAUCCUCAAAAUAGCUUGAACGGAUACAAAGUGGAAACACGAAUCUUCGAGAUAUCUUCAGCACUCCGGAAAAAUUGAAUAGCGAGGAGUGGAUGAUUAAGAGGUGCACCGGCAUGGGAAAGCAUUUGAAACAAAGAAAGGAUAUGAUCAACCAAGCUUGACUUGAAUCCACCGGGGAAGAAAAGAACGAAAAUGAUGAACUUGAAGCUCCGUUACAAUCUUCAAGAGAAUCACCGGAUACGAACAUUGAUUGAAAAGAAUGGAGAGACUUCAUAUGAGUAAAAUGAUACUUGAUUAAGAAAUCUGAGUCCUUGAAGAAAAAGGGGUGGCUGGGCGGGAAAACAAAGACAACUUGGGACAAAUGAAACAAACACCAUUGAGAAAGCUUUGAGUUGAACUUGCGGAUGUUGGAAUGAUCGGAUCCACUUGACGAGAAGCACACCGGUUGAAAAGGAUUGACAUGACAAUCUCGAUUAUUAGGAAGGAUUAGUAUUCACAUAGGAAUAUGAGAACACCACUAAGGAAAAGGCAUGGAAUCAACACUUGACAUUGAAGCAACUCGAAUACCACAACUGAAAACAAAACAAAGGAUUGGCUUGCAGAAUAAGCUGGAACAAACAUAUGAUAGAGAUUUCGUCUGAAGUUUUCGUGGUGGGGCCCACACGGGCUCGAUCGUACAGCACCAUCAUGUACAAGGCAGUGCACAUGACAUACGAAGCGUCCCCGAGUCAGCAUAGCCAAGGACUCUUUAAGACACAACGAGACCACUGUAAAACCAACUGUGGAUAGGCGGACCACUAGACGUCGAACCCCAAUCUCAUAUCAUGCAUCUGUCGGAAAGAUAUCCUAGGAGCUACUUGAAUUCCCACUUAUAAACUCCUGAAACUUUCUGGUUAUGCAAUCAGAUGUUGGGGAUACAGGGGAAGCAUAAUAUCUCACCCAAAACUAGCAAAUCCUACAUCCAGCUGUAUCCAUCCUUCAACACAUAACCAAGAAACCUUCGGAAACCAUUUACCUCAACCUUCAAAAAGCAUCCGUUAUACGAGUUAUGGCAAUACUCCCAAACUCCCGCCCCAGUACUGGGUGGCGUCGAGGUUAUCUCACCAACAACUACAUAAAAGAGAUUUUCGAUGUCGGCGAAACUCAGGUAUUCCAGAACUGCAAGAUAAAAUUGUGACGACAACACCUCGGAGCUUAACUCCACGGGACACCGCCACAACCUCUAAAUGUCAGGAGCCACCAAGAACAAUGUUCUCGUCAGAAAACCAUCGGAACGAUUCCAAGAUACCCGCGUGAUCCUAAAAAAAAUCGUGAAAUUUUAGGAGAGAAGAGUCAAAACUCUACGUCAAGAGGCCUCACCAGAGCGAUGAAGGGACUGAAGAGUAAAAAGAAUCCUACUCUCCGAUAUAUAUAAUCCUAUAAGACUCAAAACAUUUUUCUAGACUCAACAACGCCAGUGAUUCGAUCAAGCAGGGGGCUCCUAAGUCGGGGAAUGCUCUCAAAAAGGAGUUCACUCCUUUGUGGAUGUACUUCAUUAGCUUUUGCCCCGCGGUUCACUUGCCCUCGUCACUGCGGUCCACUCUCGUUUAUAAAAAAUGUUGAAAAAAAGACAACAAAAACUCGUUUGAGAAAAAAUUACAUUCGACAAAAUAAAUCAUGUUCACUUGACCGUCUGAUGAAGUGCGGUUUCUAGUCUGAAGUAGUGCGUUCUUCUGUCUAAUGAAGUGCACACGUCGAUUUUAGUGCUUGUUUGAGAUAAAAAUUUCGUCUGAGAAAAGAAACCAUGAAGUUUACUUGACCGUCUGAUGCAGUGUGGUUUUUAGUCUGAAGCAGUGCGUUCUUCUGCCUGAUGAAGUGCACACGUCGAUUUUAGUGCUUGUUUGGGAAAAACAUUGUUUGAGAAAAGAAACCAUGAAGUUCACUUGACCGUCUGAUGAAGUGCGGUUUUUAGUCUAAAAGCAGUGCGGUUUUCUGUCUGAUGCGGUACAUACGAUGAUUUGAUGUCAUGAAAAAACAGUCUCCGCAUUUUGUUAAAAUAAAAAUUGCUCUUAAACCGCAAAGAAUCAGAGAGAGUGCUCUACAUGAAAAAGUUGCGUCUCAUUGAUAUCUUUCCAACGGCGCAUAAUUUGAAUUAUUUUGACAAGCGGUUUGUAAAAAUUUCGCGAAAAGCGGCCGCUGCCUCUCGUCGUCAGUCGCACGAUUUUCAAAAUUAACUAAAAACUCUAAGGAAUCUCAAAACCAUUUCAACAUAUGAAAGUUGCGCCUCGUCCGUAGCUUUCCAGCGGCGUAUCACACAUCUCGUUCUGACAAUUAGUUCAAAAACUGGAGCGAAAACAAUACACAAAUUGCAAAAAAAUCAAAAAAACAUAAUUCCGCGAUUUACUAAAUUUAAAACUGCUCUUAAACCGUAACAAAUUAGAGAAAAUAAUAGAUAUGAAAAAUAUGCACCUCGAUGAUAUCUUUCCAACAGCGUAUCAUUUGCUUCAUUCCGACAAGGGGUUUAGGAAAAAUCACGAAAUUACGCAUGCUGCCGCUCGUCGUCCGCCGCACCAUUUUUGAAACUGCUCUUAAACCGCGAGGAAUCUCGAAAAGUGUUCAACAUGGCGAAGUUGGGCCUAAUCCAUAGCUUUCCAACAGUAUAUUAUACGCCUCGUUUUGAUAAACGUUUAAAAAACUAGAGCGAAAUCAGUACCGGAAAAACACUGCGUGCAGUUUUUUUCCGACAAGAAAUUCACUAAUCUGUAUUGCAGUGCCCUUGCUACAGAAAAUACAGCACUGCAUUUUAUAUAGCAAGGGAACAUCUAGGCUAUUCUGUUUCGCGUAACAGAAUAUUAUUAUGUUACCCUACUUGAACUGACGGUUUCAGGCGGCUGUACUGAUGAUUUUCAUCACGUCGAAAUGAUCAUCUUUUCGUCGAAAUGGGGCGUGUAAUAUAUCAUUGGAAAGCUCUUGACAUGUACAUUACAAAUAUACUAGAUUUUUUUUGUAAAAUCAUCAUGGUUUAAGAGCAGUUUAAAAAAACAUUUUUUCAAAACCGAAAACGUGAAUCGUAUUUUGGACUUAAUUUUCAAACAGUUUGUAGGAAUUGAGCAAAUAAGACGGCGUUAGAUAGAUGGUGAAAAUCUGCUUCUUCCAUAUAUCUAACGUUUUUUCAAAUUCGGUAUGAUUGAAAAGUAAUUUGGAAAAUGGUGAAAUUCUGGGCGAAACGUAUUUUCGCAUUUUUUGCAAAUGGUUUGUUGGAUCGACGCAAAUGAUACGGUGUUGGAAAGCUAUGGAAAAUGCGCAACUUUUUCGUAUAGAAAUGUUUUUAUAGUUCCUUACGGUUUAAACUCGAAUUCAAAUACGGUCAAAUUUGAUUUCGAACGCGGUUUUUUUUAAAAAGUUUGUCGAAAUGGGGCAAAUAAUAUACCAUUGGAUAGCUAUUGAAAAUGCAAAACUUAAUCAUGUUGAACGUUUUCUCUACUUCGCAACCGUUUAAGAGUAAUUUUGAAUAAGGUGAAACUUAUUGUGUUGUUUUUCUGUCUAAAAAAUAGAGUAUUCGUACUGAUCUAUGUCUGUGUUUGUACUAAGGUAUUUUUCACAGAGUAAUGUUGAAUGGUUCUGAAAGAGUACUCGAACUUAUGUGCGUCUUGGUUUGUACUAAGCAUGCUUUCACAUACUAGAUUUUACUCUAUUUUCGAUAUGGUUUUCCUCGUAACUUUUCAACGGUUUACGAUCUUAUGGGACAGUUUUCCUCGUAACUUCUCAACGGUUUACGAUCUCAUAGUCCCCGAACUUGCAUGGUUUAUAUCGUUGAACUGAAUGAUAUAUUUUUUAAAUUUUUUUUAGCUCAGUAGUUUUUGCAACGAUGUUUUGGACUUCUCUCGUUUUGCGACUUGAACUUUUACCAUUUGAAUUUUCAUUGGGUUUGUUUUCGUUUGAGCUUUUUUCCCAAACUUAUCUGGGACGUUGUGUUGAACUUAUAACUUUUUAAAUUGUGAACUUGUUAUGUUUUUACAAUACCAAAGCUAGUAAAUAGUAGGAGAUUCACCCAACAAAGGGGCUAAUUACAUAAAGCAGGCACAGUAAUACCGCGGUCAAAUCGGUAGCUAGCAGCAACAGCAGUGAUUACCAACACGUACACAUGAACUGGUAACAAACUUGCACACAAUCUGACUAACAAAAAGAACACAAUACACAUGAACUGAUAAUCCGCACGGCUAAUGGCAGAGCUUUGUUGCACCUAGGUCCACCCGUUUACUGAUAGUAGAACUUCUCAGUUGUAUUAAUUCAGUCUGAUGUUUAAAUUUUCACCAUUUUGUCCUACAUAUUAGAAUACUAAGAACAUAUAUUUACUGAAGAUCCUACCAAUACAGAGUUACAGAAUAAAUUCUUUGUCCAAUGACAAUGUAAGAGUCACGGCCAGUAAUCACAAACAACACUAUCUCGACCGCCGGGCAUGUGUGUGCGGCAAGGGGAUGCAGAUACUCCGAUGAUAGAUGUGUUGAGACAACAAGUUCAUGCAGGAGACCUUGAACUACUCGCCUGUUGCCAUUGAUGGCUAUGGAUCAUGCAAAAUCCUGACCAAAAGAUCACAUUAUUUUCACGAAACUAAUCUCUUGAACUUGCUCCACGACAAUCUUUGAACCUCCUACAAGAACAAUCAUUAUUUUAAAGUUCACAUGAAUACCUACAAGCUAUGAUCACAAACAUUCACAAAACAUUCUUUUAAAGAGUUAUGCCGCAUUAAUUAGAACCAGAAAAAUAGGGUGAAACUAUGGCAUCUACACUACACAUCAUCUAGACUGUAGCAACAACUGUUUUGCAUGAUCAUUGGCAUUUGGAGUAGCAUACAACAACUGGACGGAGAAGGGAGAAAGAGUUGGACUGGUGUGAACCCUGUACCUAGACAGGGACCGGAGGAAGUAAUGCAUGGGGCGGCGGGGGCUGUCUGUAGUCCAACCUCCCCUGUGCCGCAGUUCAGAGAGAAACAAAUUAGUAAGAGAAAAGAGCAGUAGAGAGGAAAGAGAUACGGCAGAUGCAUUGACUACUGCUGUUCUUUUUGUUGAAGGGCAGAUGAAGAAACUCCCGUAGGUCGCAGCUGAAGAAUUACAGUGGCUUCAUAACAAGUUUAACAACACAACAUUUUGGCAGCAAGUACGUGCAGGUAGAGGUCAUGCCAUGGAUUGGAUGGAAACUCGAUGCAUGAGCUGACCAUAAACCAAGAAAAGAGCUACAACUUUUUAAUAAAUCAUAUCUUUAAAUAUACUUGUGCGAAUAUCCCUUUCCAGAACUAACCACCUCAGACAAAUACAUGCACAAGCUUACCUUCAUUUUAACCAUGGUAUUUUUCAGCAAAAAAAUGGUGUGCAUUAGCUCCACAUAAACAUGCGGCUUCCUGCAUUUUCCAUCUUUAUGCGUCAAAUGCAGUGUGCAUUAGUAGUAGCAAGUGCCUCAGCAUGGUGCCCUGGUCAGGGACGAUGCCGCUGGCGACGCACCACGGACGUAGAUAUAGAUGGACAACAGCUAGGCAGAAUGUAGAUAGCUCGUCACUUUGGCAUCAUUGCAGCCGACAUCCUUGUGGCCGCGCACGAGAUCACUACAACAUUAGCAUGGACUCGCUACAGCAUUAGCAUGUCCAUGUUGUUGAACUGAUGAGAUUUUUUCAUUGCACUGUUGUAACAUAAGGACUAGAACAACUAUCAAUAUAAAUUGAUGCUUUUUUUGUAGGUUUCUGAGAAUUAUAAUUUCUGUUUUGUAAAUAUAUAAAAAAAUUAAAUAGGUGUACUGCACCAUUACAUAAGUUUGUAAUGAACAUGUCCAUAAUAAUUACUAUAACUUUUAUUUGACAACAGAGAUUUUUUUUAAAAAAAAUUGAUGAUUGUUUGGGCUAGACAUACCAAAACAAACACUUUAGGAAAGAAGAGUCUGAACUUCUUGUGCAUUUUCCCAUUGAUCUUCACUGAACUAAAAUUAGAAUUUGAACUCCAGCUUUCUUUUAAUAGAACAUGGUAAAUCCAUGUUGUCUGUUUUUUAACCAGAAAACUACGCAAGAUUGCUCGCUAAAGGCCACAUAUUUUUUUCAUAUAGUAAGACAAGUGAAAGAUAAUAUAUAACAACCCAUAGGAGAAAGAAUUAGCAAAACUGAAACAAAAACAUAUGUUACCAGAACUGAAAGCAAUGGUUUUUCAAACCUUUGGGUGAGAGCAUGGUGCUCUAAUACGAUUUUGCAUAUAUCUAAAACUCCACGGGUGACCUGAACUGAUGCAUAACAGUAUGAGUGCAAAAUUCUUGUAAGCAUAAGAAAAUACAUAGAGUGC